rnacentral:lncRNA from 1 species
GUACAGUGAGAUCAGAAUGGGGUUCCACAUUGGGGCCGCACAAGGUUGCGAACGGCGACGAGCGAAUUUAGGCUAGAAACUAGACUUUCUCCGGAAAUUUCCGAACCCUUUGGGAUUUUAGAUUGCGGGUGCCGUGCGCACAGAACCUGGACAAGCUUGAUUCCGAGAACUGUGUGACGCACAUUUGAGUGUACAAACCGAGUCCGAUAAUCGAAGUUGGCCAAAGGCUGGCUGGAUUAAAAACAUGGCAUGAGUCAUCAAAUGUGGAACUGCUGUGGUGUCGGGAGGUGAUUCCCGGGGUCUUGCGAUGUGAAGAAUGUGUGCGAUUUGUGCUGUAGGCGCUGGAUAUGCUUCCUGUGAGCAGAUUUUGGAAAUCUUGUAAAAUCCUAGUGAUGUUGCAGUUUAGCCUCGGAAUCGUGCGAUUGUCGACCCCGACUUUACUCGGUUUGUGUCAUGGUCUGAAUUCUGUGCGCAACGAGGCUCUCGCUUCGUGUUGAGGAUCUGGGAAGGGACGGGCGCGCUCGGUUACGCAAAGCCAAUCUGCUACACAAACAGGCAACAAGAUGCUGCUCCCUGGUUGAAAGCAUUUAGUAAUGUGAGGUUGCACGGCGAGGCACGAUUGUGCUCCCCCAUCUCGGAAGUGCUUGUUUAACUUGAUGGGGGCGUAAGCAAUUGCAUACAAAUACAAGAACAAAUAGAUUCAAUCAAUAGAUGUAGUCUAAGAACAGGUAGAGAUACUUUCGUUUAUCCAAAAAACACAAUGGCAAGAAUGAAUGCUUAGCACUAUUAGUAGUGACAACCAUUUGUCUCCAAAGUGGACAUUACUUUUCUUGGUUCAACUUGCAACAAGAGUGUGGAAAUUUUACAAGCAACAUCAAAGUAUCCAUAACAAAAUAUGCAUUUUGCACACUUUUAGACUUAAUAGUUUAAUUUUGAUUUUAAAGUUGUUUAUUGAACCUUUACUAAAUGUUAUUAUUAUUCUAAGAAGGGGUCAUGGUCGACAACAAGCAGGUAAGUAAAAUCAUAGUUAAAGAUGGAGCAAAAAUACAAAUGUAUACUAGAUAGAACCAAAACUUAAGAUGCACGCAAAACUUAGAGUUGAUAUAUAUUUGAUGUAGUACAUGUUGAAGAUAAAAAAACAAGGAGAUUUUGAAUACUACGAUAGAAUUCUAAAAAAUAUGUCAUAGGGAAAAAAUAUAUGGUCAAUUUAUACAAAGACAAUAAACUAUUUUUUAGACUUUGUUGCCAAAAUUAUAAAAUAUUAGUUACUUGAGUCUAAUUUAAAUUAAUAUUGUUAUAUAGUUGAUUUUUACAUGGCAUAAAAUUAUAAAUAAUUAAAACCAAAAACAUAUUUUGAUAUAUUUUGGUAUCAAUAUUAUAAAGCAUUUUUGACAAAAUUAAGACAAAAAUGUUAAUCUAGCCUUUAAGUAAUAUUAGUUUUUCAAUAUUCUUUGCCAAUGUCAAAAAAAUACUUGUCUUAUUUGUAAAAAAAUUGCAUCUUUAUAGCUUUUCUAUAUUAUUUUUUUGCACCACAAUAUAACUUAAUUAUAAUAGAAUUAGAAAUAACAUACAUCUAAUUGUUUAAUUCUUCUAAAAUUUUUACCUUAAUUUUUUUAAUUUUUUGGAUGACUUAUUAAUUUAGUUUAUUCUUAAGAAAUAUUUUACCAAUGUCAUGAAAUAAUUUGAAUCUAAAUAAAAAAAACAUUAGAUUGAUCAUUGUGAGCUGUCAAUUAUACUCUAAAAUUUAAAUUUUUAUUAUUUUCCUAUUUUAUGAUAAUUAAACAUGUUAGAUUAGGAUUUAUAUAAGUGGAAUUUAGUUUUAUAGAAUUUUUAGGAUUACAACCCUUGAUGGUAUAAAUUAUAAUCUAAUUUCUUGAAUUAGGUUAAUUAGGACUAAAGUGAUAAGAGUUAGAAAAUUAGAAUAGCAACUUAGUUAGUUUAAUAAUUUAGAGGUUGUUAGUCAUUACUAUAAGCGUUGACUAAAAGCCUAUGAGUGCAUCUAUAAUCAUUCACAUGAUUUAGGAGUUGGAAUUAUAAUUCUCUAAAAGAUUUAGAGAAGUUAGCAAUGAUAAUUUUGGAUUUUCCUCCAAAUUCGACAAAUUCAAGUAGCAUGGUGGUUCUUCUACUUAAUGGGAGUCUUUUUAAUGCAAUGGUGGCAUCGGAUUUACCUCGUGGAGUGAAGAAAACAACAUCAGCCACCUCUCCUUCAAAAUACAAGAGAAGCAAUGAAAUUCUCAUUUUGAAGAAUUUCACAAAAAUUGCUAAGAUCCUUAUAAGUAAAAACUUCCAUGAAAAUUAUAAUUGAGCAUGGAUUGAGGCAUGUGAGUAGUCAAUCUUAGCUUAAAAAGGUAUUUUGAACACAAUAGUGAAGUUAGAUUUACAAAAAAAUGCUUUCUUGACCACUUACAAGAGCCAUCAGCCUUGGUAAUGAGAUUGGCUCUUGGAUGAAUGAAGGCCGUAGAUCUAGAUUAGGAAUCUUAAAAAUCAAGGGUGAAGAUGUAGCCACCCUUCUACGAGCCUCCAUUCAAUUGUAGAAGAGAGGCUUGGUUUUCCAAGCCUUCUCUCUCUCUUCUUUUGGGUGGAUCCAUGCCAAAAUUUGGCCAAAAUCCUAAUCUUAAUUUUAUUUAGAUUUUAAUUCUCAUUGUGAACCUUGUGAUCGUGUAUAUAUGGAUUAUGAAUUAUGAAGGAUGGUCAUUAAGUUUUAAAAUAUGUUUCAUUGAGGUAGAUAUCUCCUCGGCCUUUCAAAUACCCCAAGGGUUUUAAGGGCCUUGGAUUUUCUUCAAUCAGUCACUCAAUUUCUUUUUUUUCAAUUUGAGAUUCUAAAUAAUUGUAGCUUUUGUUGUUAGCUUUCCGACAAGAUAAGACUCGCUUGAUUUGGAGUAAGAAAGAAGUUUUGGUGAAUUUUUGAGUUUGAGGGAGUCGACUACCUUUGCAGUUUGAAUCAAUCGAGUUUGGAAAGGCAUUUCUUAGUGCCUGAUGAUUAGCUUUAUUUGAAAUUUUGGGAGCAUCAAUCUUUAUAAGCUAAGCUCUGAAAGGAACAAGUUUUGUUGAAUUUGAAGACAAUCUUAAUUUUUAGUCAAUUUCUAAGUGAAGAGGGUUGGUCACCACGGCAGUUUGGAUCACUCAACUUCAAAGGAGGAAUUCUCACGACUGGUUCAUUAGAUAGCAACGAGGAUUGUUGGAUCAAAAGCGUCUUCAAGUUAGCCUUGUAACAAGCUAAGAAUCAUUCAAAUUGAAGCCGAUUACAAAUUUUUGCAAAUUUUGGAGUAGAAGGGGGUCGCUGCCUUCAAUCCUUACGUGUUGUCAAGGUACCUUCACUUCCACCUCUCUUACUUUGUUUUUACUAUCAUCUUCAUAGUGACUUGUAAUCUCCACAUUUCACUUUAUGGCUAAUAAAUUUUAAGUUUAACUUUUAACCUUUAAUAUUCUCACUUUAACUUUUAACUUUUAACUUUUAAAUUGAACUUUUAAUUUUAAAUUUUCACUUAACCUUUAAUCUUAACUUUUAAAUAAUUAAUAUUUAUUUAUUUAUUUAUUUAUAUUUAACUUAACCUUUGAAUUUUAACUUUUAACUUAAAUUUUUAACUUAACUUUUAACUUAACUUUUAAUUCAAACUUAAGUUUUUAUUCUUAUGGUCAAUUAAUAGUAAUAAUUUAGUUAAUUAUUUUUACUACGUUUACAUAGUAAAUUUUAUUUAACAUGUUAAUUUAAUGUUGGUAACCAUUGCUUGGAAGGCCUAAAACUAAUUGAAUUUUUAAUAUAAAGAUUUAAAUUAAUCUAACAAUUACACAAUUGGGAGCUCUCCAAUUCCACCUCUUGGACUUGUUGUGUGGCAUAGGUUUCAUCAAGUGGUGAAAUUUGGCCUCACACUGAUAUAGAAAUAAAGAGAUUUAAUAAUUUUUUAUAUAUAUAAGUUUAAUGGCUAAUAGGUUUGAUGUUUCACAACUACAACCUGGAGUAAUUUAUUAAAAAAAUAUGAUUUAUACUUCUAUAUUUAUAUAAUAAUUCAUAACAAUAAACAACUAAAAAAAGAUAAAACAAAAUUUUAUUAAAAUAAAAUUUAUAUUAAUAAAAUAAUCUAAUAAACCUAAAUGAAAUAUAUAUAAUUUAAUAUUUAAUUUUUUUGUUUGUAAUAUUCAACUAAUUAUAUUUUUAUAUCUUCUUUAGUAUUAUAAUAAUUAUUAUAUUAUAUUUAUAGUUUUUAUAUCUUUAAUAUCAUAAUAAUAAAAUAAUUUAUAUAAUAAUAUAUUAUAUAAAAUAAUAUUUAUUUUAUUAAUUAUAGAUGUUAUCUAUAAUCUGAUAAUUUUGAUUUUAUAAGAAUAAAAAAUCCAAUAAUAAAAGAUUCGGCAAGUAGAAUAAAAGAACUUCUUAUAACAAUGAAGAUACAAUUAAAAGAGGCUCAAGAAAGAUAAAAAAAAUAAAACGAAAAUAUUUUUGAAUAAGAAUAACCUUCAUUCAAAACAAGUGAUAAGGUAUAAUUACUUUGUUGUAUUGUCAAAACUAAUCAACCUUGUAAUAAGUCAGAUCAUUAAAGGCUUAGUCUAUUUGUUAACAAAAAUAUAUUAAUUCAAUAUCAAAUCAAUUACAAUUACUACUAUCAAUAAAGAUCCAUAUUAUGUUCUAUGUUUUUUUUUUUUUUUUUUUUUUUUAUCGAGUCUUACAUGUCAAUGAACAUAUUAAAAAGAAAGUAGUCACCACUAUAUUUUAUUAAAAUAGAAAACAUCUAAGAAUUUGAAGUAGAAGUAGUCUUGGAUUCAAAUAUAAAUUAUAUUGUUGAAGGUAGCAAUUAAUGCCUUUAUAAUGAUUAAAUUACUGAAUAAUAUUAUCGUCUUGAUAUAAGACAUUAUUGAUGGCUAAAAACAAUUGUAAUAUUUCAUACAUUAGCAUGGAUAUGAUAUCAUUGAAUAUAGAUAGUAGCCAUGUAAAACUCUAAUAAAUGUAUUAAGCUUGAAUCUAAUUUUUAUUGACAGUAUCUAUUGAAACUAAAAACUAAUCAUUGAUAAUAAGAUGGUAUAAAUCAAUAAAAGAGAAGUUCAAGAAUCUACUUGUAGAAUUUCUUUGCAAAUAUGAAGAAUUAAGAAUAAAAAAUUCAUCUCAAAGAUUUUUAUAUGCAAAAUUACUAGAAACAUGUUCAAAAAUGUGUCUUUGCAUAAUAAAACAAUCUUAAUAACUCAUUACCUAGUUUGUAAAAUUGUACAUUAUUGUAUAACAUGAAUACUUACUUGAGAAUGCACUAAGCACCUACUUUUGGAAGGUAAAUAAAAAUUUAAUCUAAAAUAAAUUUAAAAUAAAUUUAAAAUUUAAAAUAAAUUUAAAAUUUAAAAUAAAUCUAAAAUAAAUUUUAAUGAAAUUAUGAAAGAAACAUAAAGAAAUUAAUUAAUCUAAAAAAAUGAUAAAAAAAUAUUAAAAAAUAAAAUAAAAAUAUUUAAAGAAAUAAUAAUAAUAUUUAUAAUAUUUUUUUAAUAGAAAUAUUUAAAUAAAUAAUAAAAAUUUCUUAAAGAAUAUUAAAAAUAAAAAUUCUAAAUAAAUCUUGAGUAAAUCUUAAAUAAAUCUUAAUCAAAUCUUGAUGUAGCUCUAAUCAAAUUCUAAUGAAACUGUAACAAUCAUAAAUAAAUUCUAUUAAAAUUCUAAACAAAUAUUAGACCAAAUCCUAAUAAGAUUUAAAUACAAUGUCAUGUAUUUUGGACUUACAAAUGCACCGAUAGCUUUUCAACAUCUAAUGAAUGAUGUUUUUCAAGAGUUUUUAGAUGACUUUGUUGUCUGUUAUCUUGACGACAUCUUAAUCAAUUUUAAGAAUACAGAUAAACAUAAACUUCAUGUUCAUCGUGUAUUACAAAAAUUAAGAGAUGCGAGACUCUAUGCUAAGAUAAAAAAGUAUAUAUUCUACACUACUCAAGUUGACUUCUUUGGAUAUAUCAUUUCAAAUGAUGCACUUAUGAUGGAUCUUAAGAAAAUUCAAACUAUUAUGGAUUGGAAGAUUUCAAAAGUGGUAAGAGAUGUCUAAUGCUUUUUGGGCUUUGCCAAUUAUUAUUGAAUUUUCAUCAAAGACUUCUCUCAAAUUGCAGCCCUACUUAUGCGUUUGAUUUGCAAAGACAAACUUAAGUGGAGUAAAGAAGCUGAAGCAUCUUUUGAAGCUUUAAAGUCAAUUUUUAUUUCUCCACCAAUCUUAUAUCACAUUGACUUUUCUAAGGCAUUUUUUAUGGAAACAUACACAUCAAACUUUACUUUGGGUGUUGUAUUAUCACAAAUGGGAACAAAUGAUAAACUUCACUUAAUAGCUUUUUAUUCCAAAAAUGUUUUAGCAAUCAAGAUUAAUUAUAAAAUCCAUAACAAAGAGCUUCUUGCAAUCGUGGAUUCAUUUCAAGAAUUGCAUCAUUAUCUAAAAGGCAUUUUCAAUCUAGUCACGAUGUAUACGGACCAUAAGAAUCUUGAAUACUUCAUGUCAGUACAUGUUUUGAAUCAUCACAAAGCCCAUUGGAGCAUGUCUUUAUCAAGAUUUGAUUUCAAGAUCACAUAUCGAUCCAAAAAAAUAACAAAGUUUAUCAAAUGCCAUUUCUAGACGAUCUUAUCUUGCACCAAAAAAAAAGAUGCAUCUUUUGAUUAACAAAAAAUGAUUCUCUUGAAGCCAAAGCAUUUUUCAUCUUCGAGUAAUGAAAUCAAAAUUGACUAUUGUUUCAACUCUUCUGAAACAAAUUCAAUCAAGUAUGUCUUCUGAUCUUCUUGUUCUCAAUAUCAAGAAUUCUUCUUCUAAGUCCCAAGAUACUUCUAAGUUUGAAUUCAAAAACAACCUACUUUAUUUUGAAGGUCGAUUAUAUGUUCCAAAAGAAGAAGCAUGAUUACAUUGUUGUAUUACAUAUUAUUUUGCUUGGAAAUGCACUAGGCACUUAGUUGUGGAAGGUGAGGUUGUGUUUCACAAACAUAAAAAUAAAAUCCUAAUAGAUUUCAUCCAUAUGAGAAGAAUAUAAUCCAAAUUCUAAUUUAAAAGUCCUAAAAAAUACUCUUCUUAGUAGCCUCAAUCACACAUAAACCUCAAUUACCUUAAUACUUUCAUAUUUAAGCAAUUUAGAUUUUUCUUAUAAGUCCCAAUCCUAACAAGCUUUAAUUUCUAAUCUGACCGUCUACUUGAUGUGAAAUUUUGCAUGCAAUUGUCAAUGUAAGUCUUCUAUACGCUAAAGAAUUUUCAACACAAUCCAACUUAUAGAUUGUGAGAAAACCUCCAAAAAUUGCACUAAUGUCACUCAGCCGCCACCUUGAAAAGUGAAGCAAAAAUCCCAGCAGUGAUUUCUCCUUCUCCAACUAUUAACUUUGACUCAAAAUUGGUGUGCACCUUAAUCUUCAAGUCCUUCAAGAUCAUGCCAAAUUUCAUUUUGAUGUGACUAGUAGAUCUCUAGAUAUCAUAGAAAUCCUAUCCAACCCCAAACUGCCAACUUCCAAAACCCUCUUGUGCUAAAAACCAAUUAUCUUUGAAAUACACUAUUAGAUUAUCACAAAAAUUUGUAUACAAUUAGCACAUCCAAUAAUCCAAAUAAUAUUAAAUUUUGAACCGUAGAUGCUUCAUCAAUUACAUGAACUAGCCAAAAUUGAUAGCCCUAAUUAUAUUAUAUAAAACCCAAAUCAUCAAUAAAAACCCUGACUUUGAACAACAAUUUUUAAGUCUUCAAAAACCUUAAAAAGACAAUCUAUACGCCUUUGGAAAGAGCUUUAAGCUAACUCUCAAACCUUAAUCUACGAUCUUCAAAUAAAUCCCUAAUUUGCCCUAGGAGGUCAUUUUAGUGACUAGAGGUCUAAUUUUGAUCCUAUCUCACAAAUAGUCGACCCCCUAGGUAUCAAUUUAACAUAUCCUAAGGAUUUUUUAGCCCAACCCUACCUUCAACUUGAUUUAGUAUCAACCAUACCAACCAUUUACCUCUUCUAUCCUGAUUUUAUUAAUUAAUGGCCUUCUAAGGCAAAAAAAGAGUUUUUAUAUCCUAGAAGGUAAAAAUACUAAUUAACUUUUAUCUACUUGCUAUUAAGACAAGAAAAUAGACUAAGAGACUUUCAUAAAAGCCUUAUUAAAAUAUUUUGAGUUCUUGUUGAACUACUAUAAAGAGUAUUAAUUAAAAAAUUAUUUUUAGUCAUAUUUUCAUCAUAUAAUCGUGUCACAGUACGACAACAUCUUCUUCAAGCGUGUGACAACUUUCCAGCAGUAGGACAUUUUUGGAUACAACAAGACUUUGGAGCUUAUAUCCAGAGAUUUUUAGUGCCCACAAAUAUAGAAUGAUGUGAAAGACUUUGUUCAAUCAUGCGACAUUUGUUCAUGAUCAAAAACUCUCUAUUAUUGACUUUAUGGACUUCUUCAACCAUUAUCCAUUUUAGAACAAUCAUAGUCUUCUAUUUCUAUAGAUUUCAUCAUAGAUCUUCAAAUCUCAGGUUCUUAUGAUUCUAUAUUCAUGAUAGUAGAUCAUUUUACUAAGAUGGCACAUUUUGUACCAUAUAUAAAAUCUAUUACAGAUGAAGAAAUAGCUAAACUCUUUCUUGACAACGUCUAUUGCUAUUAUGGAUUACGAAAAGAUAUCAUAUCAAAUAAAGGAACUCAGUUUGUAUCAAGAUUUUGGUGGACUCUUUUUAAGAUUCUAAAAGUAGAUAUAAAAUUAUCUUUGGCAUUUCAUCUUCAAAUUGAUAGAUAAAUACAGCGUGUUAAUUAAGUUUUGUAGUAGUAUUUAAAAUGUACCAUGAACUACCAACAAAAUGAUUGGACAACUCUUUUGCCAUUGGUAGAUUUUACUUAUAAUAACAUAGUACAUUCUUCUACAAAACAAACACCUUUCUUUGCCAAUUAUGGUUAUCAUCCACGACUUGAUACUUUUGACUUUUAGAAGCUGAUAAUCUAGUAGCGCAAGAUUUGACAAAUUAUUUGUCAGAGCUACAUACAACAAUGAAGGCACAGUUUAAAGAAGCUCAAGAACAAUAAAAGAUCAAUAUCGAUGUCUAUCAAAAGAAACAACCACCAUUCCACAUAGGUGACAAGAUAUGGUUACUUUGUCACAAUAUCAAGACUACUCAUUCUUGUGAAAAGUUGGACUAUUGUAAGCUUAGACCAUUUUUUAUUUCUGUCCAAAUCAAUCUAGUUGCAUAUCAUUUAUAUCUACCAAAGUCAAUAAAAAUCCAUCCAGUAUUCUAUGUAUCUCUUCUUGAACCAUACAAGAUAGUGGACAUACUUAGAAGAAGACAAGUACCACAUCUUCCUAUAAAAGUGGAUAAUAAUGAAGAAUUUGAAGUGGAAGAAGUCUUAAACUUAAGGUAGCGCCAAAAUAAGUUAGAAUAUCUUAUUCAUUAGCAUGGAUAUAAUCUUAGUGAAAGCACAUGCAAGCCAGCAAAGAAUCUUAUAAAUCAGCAAAGAAAGUAGAGGCUUUUCAUCAAUGACAUCCAUCAAAAUCAAAAUAAAGACCUUCCCUAUAAAAGAAAUAAGAUCUAGGUAAGAUAACAUUCUACUUUCAAUCUUUGUUUGUAACUUCUUUAUAUAUGUGACAUUGAAGAGAUGGAGAAUCAACAACCAGUGAAAUUGACUAAAGAUCCUUUAUUUGUUGACUUGCCAGAUGAGACAUUGUAACUAUUACAACCUUCAAGACAAUGCAAUGGAGAUGAAGAUCCUCAAAAAUUACAUGUUUUUCUUCAAAUAGAUGGCGAGAUGUAAUGUGUUUGGUAUCAUGACCUUGGAAUAGACUCUCAAUGUUUGAUAAUUUUAUUAGAGGUAGGAACAACUCUUGAUGGUAUUUCAAAUGUUUUAUUUGAAGGAAGUUAUGAAGGCCUCAAGAAUGACUAAAUAAUAGGGUGGUCUUCUUUUCCUAGUAUGGGAUACUAUUGAUAGUUGAGAGGUCCUAUCAACUUUCUUCAAAGAGAACAAAGAUCUGAGUAUGUAACAAAUAUAAUUUGUUGCAUCAUAUAUUUUUUUAACAUAUGAUGAUCGCUCCUUAUAGAACUCGUUCCUAAAAGAGGAGAUAAUGUCAUGGAUAUACACAUGUAAGCUAGUAAUUACCUAUAUAAAUAAGUAGAAGUAAAUAUAAAUAGAUAAAAAUAAGUUAAUUCUAUAAUAUCUUCUAAAGAAGCUUCUUAGAAGCUUUAUAGAUAUUAUUUUGACUUUAUAGAUGUCCAUUGUUGACUUUAGGUUAAAAACUUGAUCAACAAGUUAUCCAUGUACUACACAUGUUGGUAGCUUGAAGAAUAAACUAAUUAUGUGGCUAACAUAUAGAAAAACUUGCUUUGUAAGUCAAGGCAUGUGUCCUACAAAGUCAACACAUAUUGGAGGUCCUAUAGAACAUCGCCAUGUAGCCCUUAGUUAGAUAGUAUAUAUAGAGACAAGAGUGAAGCUCUCUUCACUCUUGUCAACUCCUUCGUUACUUCCAGUUUAGUUUCAAGUAUCUUAAGUUUUCUUGUCAUUUGGCAAUAACCAUUCGAGUUUCUUUUUAAUAUACGUACUUCUUUAUUUUUAUUUUAUUACUUUUUUUUUGACAUGGAUUUCAUUGGUUUAUACAUCAACUUUUAGUUCAUGUCUUUGACAAGUAUCAAGAUUAUACUAAUAUUUAAGUAACCAUGCUUCUUUUAUUACUUAAGCAAAAUAAUUUAUAUUUUUGCAUAUAAAAAAUGCUCAAGGAAUUUGAUAAAAUAAUGGUGUUUGAAAUACUAUAAUACAAAUGAUUGCAUAUUUGAAUUCAAAAAAAAAGAGACAAUCAAAGUUCCUUUGAUGGUAUUUUUAAAGCUAAAUUUUUUUCUAAAUAUUACUUUCUAUUCUAUUUUUGCCAUAGUAUCACUAAUAGCUAUUAAAAUAGUUUUUAUUAGUACAACUUCAUUAAAUCUACUUAUUAUAUUAUCUUGUAAUAAUCCUUACAAGUACAACUAUUUGAAAAUCAUAUUGUCAUUAUGUAUAGUACUUAUAUUUUAUUCUCAUUGUAAGCUCAUAUUUUAUCUUUGGAUACAUUACUUUGCUACUUCUAUUUAAAAUAAUGCAUCUAAAGAUAAUACUUAUAAGAGCAUCUAUUGAUUUAAAAAUAAUAUCUUUGAUAUUCUUGGAAAUAAUUUAUUAUGCAUUAAAGAGGUGGUUGUCGUUUGUAUAAUUUGGCUAUAGCUUUGGCAACAAUACAAUACAAAAGUAUUUUUUACUGUUAGUUUUUGAUGCAUAUUUGUAUAUAUCAGAAAUACUUUUUUUCAAAAAUUUAUUGCAAAUCAAGUAAUUGACAUUUGCUUUUAAAUCCUUAUAUAAAUAGAUAUAAUUUAGAUUAUUUCAAAAAUAUAAUAAAACCACUUUAUUAGCUAUUUCUACUUAUCAUCUUGAUUCUUUUUAUCUAAGAAUUGUCCUCAAAAAUCCUCUUCUAAUUUUUCAAUUUUUUUUUGUAAAAGUUGAUUGACUGUACUUUAUAUCUAAAAUAUAAGAUUAUAGGGACUAAUUUGGUUUUUUUUUCAUCUUCAUUGGUUAGAAUUUGAAUAUACUCUCCUAGAAUGAUGAUUUAUUGAUUAAAUCUUCGUGCUUUCAAGGUUUUCUCUAUGGAUUUCUUACUUGAUUUGAUUAGUAGUAUGCUUCAUUCAUGUCCUUGUACUUCAAUGGUUGCAUGUUUUAGUUCCCAUCUUUCAUCUUUAUCUACUAAUUCUAAAGUAUUCACAAUAUUUAUGAUAUAAUUUAUUAUAAAUAUAUAUACAUAUAUAUAUAUAUGAUAUACUUUAUUAUAAAUAUAUAUAUAUAUAUAUAUAUAUAUAUAUAUAUUUGUUGAAUAUUAGAAUUUUGUUUCAACAUUUGAAUUGGAUUAAGAGAAAUGCUAUGUAAUAUCUAAUAAAUCCAACUAAUAUAAUUUGUCUCAAAAUUUUAUUGAAUUACUUCUAUAGUAUAGAGUUCUUAUUCUUGCCAUUGGAUACUUUAAUUUAAUUAUUUAGUGGUCAUUUUUUUUUUCUUAGAUCUUGCAUAGUUCCUAUAAUAAUUAGAUAUUUGAAGGAUGAGUUCUUUGUUGUACUAUAUGGAUGUAUUAGAUAUUUUUAAUAUCAUAAUUUAUUGAUAUAUAAUAUAGAGGCUAACUUUUUAGGCAACAGUUGUUGUUUGGACCAUUUCUAGAGUAAUUUGAAUACUUUCCAAAGGUUCUUAAAGUUGGCCAAUAGUGCAUAGGUACCUAAUUAUGGUCCAUCGUUAUUCUUCAAUCCUAAUUCUUAAUAGGAAAAUGUCAAGGAUAUAAUCUCAAAUAAAUAAAAAAUCAAUUUACUCUUUUAUUAUUUAAAAAGAAUAGAUAUUUACUCAAAAUUAAUAUAGUCUUAAAACUAAAAUGGUUAUUAUCAAAGACAAGAAAAAAAAAAAAAAUCUUGAAAUAAGACUAAGGACUAGAAAGGUAUUGAUAAGAAUGAAGAAGGCUUCACUCUUGCUUCUAUAUAUACUAUCCAACCAAGAGCUAUAUGGCAAUAUUCUAAAGGACUCUGGAUAUGUGUCCAAUUUGUAAGAUACAUGUCUUAUUUUGUAAAAUAAGUUUAUUAUAUGUGUACCAUAAGAUUAACUUAUAAUACAAGCUAUCAAUAUAUGCAAUACAUGGCUAACUUAUUGUCUAAUUGUUCAAUCUAUUAAUUACAUAUUAAUACAUAUAAAAGUAAAAUCAUGUUUAUGAAGCUUCUAGGAAGCUAUCCUAUAAGAUACUAUAAAAUUAACUACUUCUAUUUAGCUAUAUUAUCUAAUUAUUUAUUAAAGUAGAUAUAAAUAUAUAUAUAUAUAUAUAUAUAUAUAUAUAUAUAUAUAUAUUAUUCUUUCUUUAUGAAAUAAUAAUCAUAUCUUGAUGAAAUCUAAGACAUAACAAAUUAUAUUUGCCACAUAUUGUGAUCGUUAUUUUCUACAAAGAUAGAUGAUAGAUUUAUUUAGCUAUUAAUAAUAUUCUAUUCUAAAGUAAAAAAACCAUCCUAAUAUUUGAUCAUUAUUAAGGCCUUCAUAACUUCUUUCAAAUAAAAUAUUUGUAAUAUCAUCAAGAAUUAUUCUUCCCUCUAAUAAAACCAUCAAACAUUAGAAGCCUCUUUUAAGAUUGUGAUACCAAAUCUAUUGUGUUUUUCCAUCUAUUCAAAGAAAAAUAUGUUGUUUUUGAAGAUCUUUCUUUUUAUUACAUUAUCUUAAAGGUUGUAAUAAUUACAAUAUAUCAUUUAAUAAGUCAGUAAGUUAUAGGUUUUAAGUUAAAUUUUUUGGCUAUUGAUUUUCUGUUUUCUUAUUGCAAUAACUAUAGAAAAAUUAUAAAUAAGAAAAAAGAAUAAAAUAAAUUUUUUUUAAACCACAUUUCUUUAUAGUAAAGGUUUGCUAUUCUUCAUUUUGAUUUUGAUGGAUGUCAUUGAUGAAAAGCAUCAACUUCCUAUAUAGCAUUUGCAAGAUUGUUAGUUUGUUCCUAUGUAAAUUUACUUAUAUCAUAUUUGUAUCAAUGAAUAAGAUAUUCCAACCUAUUUUGGAGCUGCCUUAAAUUUAAGACUUCUUCUACCUAGAAUUCUUAAUUAUUAUCUAUUUCUAUAAAAAACAAUGGCAUUUAUCUUCUUUCUAAGAUAUUCAUUAUUUUAUAUGGCUCAACAAAAUCCUAACUCUAAUAGAAUAUUAAUUAAACUCUAAUUAGACCAUAACAAUACUAAGCAGGCUUUAAUCAAAUUCAAAGAAAUUUCAAAGGAGUUACAAAGAAGCAAUAAAUAAUCUUAAAAAAAUAUUAGAAUGAUCACAAAUAUAUCCCAAAUACAUCUCAAUUCAAUCUUAAUUUAAUCCUAGUUAAAAUCCUAUUAGAAUUCAUUCAAACUUUAGACCAAAAACUAACUAAAUCUUAAAUCCUAAAAAAACUCAAAUAAGAUCCUAAAUCCUAAAUCAAACUUUAACCAAAUCCUAAACCAAAUCUUAAACCUUAAACCAAAUUCUAAACCUUAAAUCAAAUCUUAAUCCUAAAUCAAAUCCUUACUAAAUCCUAAGUCCUAAAUCAAAUCCUAACCAAUCAUAAAUCAAAUCCUAACCAAUCUUAAAUCAAAUCCUAACCAAUCUUAAAUCAAAUCCUAACCAAUCCUAAAUCAAAUCCUAACCAAUUUUAAAUCAAAUCUGAACCAAUUAUAAAUCAAACCCUAAAUCCUUAAUCAAAUCUUAAUUAAAUCCUAAUCCUAAAUCAAAUCCUAAUCAAAUCCUAAAUCCUAACCAAAUCCUAACCUUAAAUCAAAUCCUAACCAAAUCAAAAACUCUAAAUCAAAUCCUAAUCCUAAAUCAAAUCUUAACCAAACUCUAAUCCUAAAUUAAAUCCUAACCAAAUUCUAAUCCUAAAUCAAAUCCUAACCAAAUCUUAACCAAAUCCUAAACCAAACCCUAAAUUCUAAAUCAAAUCCUAGUAAUUCCUACAACAUAUUUAUACCUCAAUUACUAAUGAAUGAAUCAUUGAUCUUAACUCAAAAUUUGCAUGGUUUUUAACAAUUAAGUUGACAACAAGCACAAAAAAAUUUGAAAAUGAUCGAAAUAACCAAAUAGACGAUAGCCUCAAAAACAUGCUUGGAUAUUGGCCGGCCUCUUUCUCUGACCUUGAUGCCAAUUUCCAAGAGCCAAUAUCUCUUUUUUUCACCAUUUGAUUGAUCUCAAAAUUCUCAUACACAUAGGAAAAUAAGUCUUAUAUCCUCUUACAUAAAUUUCACUCCAAUCCAAAUAAUAGAUUGCAAGAAAUCUUAAAAAUCCUCACUGGACCUAAAAUUCUACUUUUUGAGAACUUGACCUAUUUAAACCUCAAUAACCCUCAAUUCAACUAUUAGAUUGAACUAAGAUUUACAAUACAUAUUAAGCACAAUUAUGAACAUUAAUCCACAAAAUUUCACUUGUAGAUCUAUUAGAAAACUCUUGAAAUACUUGAAACAUCAAUCUUAUUUUAUUUCACAAAAUCCAAAUCAUCCGAAAACAAUCUUGACUUUGUAAAGCUCUUACAAAGUCUUAACAACUCUAAAUCAUCCAAAACCAAUGCUCAUAGAAAUCCUAUCUAGUUUGCUAUCAAAUCCCACUCUCCGCUUUGCAAAAGAACCCUCGAGUUGCUGUAGGUGCUCAGCUUUGUGCCUGAAGGUCUGAUUUCGACCUAGGUUGAUAACCAGCCCUCCUUGGGUAUCAAUAUCUAGUUUUUUUAUGUAAUUUUUACUAGAAUUUACUCUUAACUUCUUCCUAAAGAUACUUAUAUUAUUUAUUUUUCCAAUCUAUUUUAUUUUGGCUUAUUUAUGGACCUAUAAAAUAAAUAGAAGUCACUUUUGUAAAAAAAUAGUACUACUACUAAAAGUUUUACAACCUUCCUAUCUUUUUAUCCAUAUUUUUUUACUUUAUUUUUUAAUUUGGUUCUUCUAUAAUAAGAUCCAUAUUAUCAUCUUUUACCAUAUAGUUGUAUUACAAUACGACAAUAUUGGUCUUUUGUUGUUCUUAAAUUUUUUUUUUAUUAUGUCUUCAUUAUUGAAUGUAGUUUAGAUAAAUUAUUUUUUAAAUAUUUUAUCACAAGAUUAUCAACUUUUGAGAAGUCAAAAGUAUUAACACAAUUGAACUUGCUUAAAAAAGGUUGAAUUAAUAGUCAAUAUUGAUUUUAUUACUCAAAGAUGAUAAUACUCUAGCUUUAAGAGAAUUAUUUUUUUUCAUCAAAAGCUACAUUUUCUUCAUUUGGUGUAAGUUAUAAAUAUCUAGAAAAGACCUUUAACAAAUCUUAUUAUUUUUUAGAUUGAUAAAUAAUCUUAAAAUCAAAGCUUCAUAAAGAUAUGCUCUAAUAAGCUUAAAAAUAAUUCAAAGUACAUGCUACCAUGAAAUACUUGAGGUUCUUUGAGAUUUGUGUAUACAAUGAUUGGAUUGGAAGUACCUUCUAAAUAAUAAUUUCAUUUUUUGAAAUAAAUAUAUAAUUAUAAAAAGCUCUUUAUUAUAGAUCUUGCAGUUGAUCUCAACUACUAAAAUUUUUAUGGAAUAAAAAGCUAUCAAAAAGAACUUGUCAUUUACUUUUGUUCAUAACACCACUACAUCAAUGAAAAAAUGUGAUGUUUCUAUUUUUAUAAAAGAUGUUUUAAAAAAGUCAUUAGAAUAUAAGAUUGGUGUAAAAAUAAAUAUUAUCUUUAACACUUUAAAAGAUGCUUUAGCUUCUUUACUUCACUUAAGUUUGUCUUUAUAUAUCAAAUAUGUAAGAAGAGUUACAACUUGUAAAUAGUUGUUGAUGAAAUUUCAAUAUUUAUUUAUAAAUUUUAAAAAAUAUUAUACAUUUCUUGUUAUUUUUUAAAUAUUUCAAUCUAUAGUAGUCUAUAUUGAAGAAAAAGAAGUCUAAAGGCUACAAAUACUUAGCAUCAGCAAGGAUUGCACUCUAAGAGAAAGUGUGGAGGAAGAUAAUUCUUACUUCCAACACUCUUUACUUAUAGGUGGUGGUUUGCGCACCAACGAGGCAACUUCCAUCCAUUUGAUAUUACAUCCAUUUCUACCUCAUCUUACUAAAGCCUCGGUACCACCACAAUAACUUACUUUAUCUCUUUGCUACCUUUUUACUAUUAGCAACAUACUAUGCUUAAACUUUAUGUGAUUGUAACUAAGCAAGUACUUGCUGUUCUUCAACACUCCCACUUUGCUAAUAUUCAAAAGGCUUUUAAUCUAAUCUUUAAAUCAAGUCAUGAUAUUUAUCCUUGAUCAAUGCCUUUGUAAGCACAUCAACAAGCAUGUCAUUUGUAGUACAAUACUUCAACCCUAUUAUUUCGUCUUCAAUCUUCUCUCGUAUAAAAUGAUAUUGAACAUCAAUGUACUUGUUCCUUGAAUGGUGUUUUGGAUUCUUGGCAAAUAUAAGACAUCCUUGAUUAUCACACAUAAUGAGAGUUGCUUCUAAUUGCACUUGUCCAAUGUCUUCUAAGAGUUGCCUAAUCAAACAUGCCACCAUUGUACAAUGACUUACUGCCAUGUUCUCUGCCUCCAUCGUUGAUCUUACAAUAGUAGGUUGUCUUUUGUAAUUCCAUGAAAUGGCUCCCACUCCAAUGAAGAACACAUAUCCUUUUAAGUACCUCAAUAUCUUGUUUACCAUUUUUUUUCAAUGGAUUGAUCCACCCUUAGAUAUGGUACCAUGCCCUUGGUAAUUGUUUCAAUCCAUACAAAGAUUUCUUUAAUUUGCAAACAAGAUGUUCUUUGCCUUAUUGUACAAAUCCUUGAGGUUGGUCCAUGUAGAUGUCUUCUUGCAAUUCUCCAUUCAAAAAGGCCGUCUUCACAUCCAUUUGGUGUAUUUCCAAAUCCAUUGCUACCCCAAUUGCUACAAUGGUCCUUAAAGUGGUGAAUUUGGCAACAGGUACAUAAGUCUCAUUGAAAUCAAUUCCAACAACUUGUGAAUAUCCUUUGGCAACUAAUCUUGCCUUGUGCCUCACCACCACACCCAUUGCAUCUCUUUUAGUCCUAAACAUCCAUUUACAACCAACACUAGAUCGGUUUGGUGGAAGAGGUGCCGAUUCCCAUGUACCAUUGUCUAUAAGAAAUUGGUACUCUUCUUCCAUAGCCUUCUCCCACUUGAUUGCAUCUUCACUCUUCAUAACAUCACACAAAGACAAUGGAUCAGCAAGAAGAGUAAUAUUUGCAUUUUCUUUACUUACUUGAUGGAAGAUGUGAUCCUUCCAUCAUUCGCCAUGUUGCCUUCUUUCUCUCAAAGGAAAUAUCCUUUCAUUGAUUGAAGAACAUUCACCUUGUUCUUUUCCAACUCUUAAACCUUAUCAUUUCUCACUCAAUGGUUGGAAGUCUUCAUCAUUAUCAUCAUCCCAAUCUUCAACAUCUUCAUUUUUUUCAUUGCUGGUCCUAUCAAUUAUAGAAGCCUUCAUCUUUUCAACCUUCUUUUGCUUUUCAUCUUCAUCAUCUUCAUUGACUUCAUCUUUUUGUUUCUUUGCUGAAUUCAAAGAUGUGUCCAUAAACACACCAUUACUCCCACUUAGACACAUCUCCAAGUGCUCACAAACACUCUUGUGCUCUAAAAACACAACAUCACGACUUUUGAUGAUCUUCUUGGAUUCCAAGCACAUUAGCAUAUAUGCCUUGGUACCUUCACAAUAACCAAGAAACACACACUUUGUAUCUUUUGCAUCAAGUUUGGACUUCAUACAAUCAGAUAUUUUUGCAUAUACAAUGCAACCAAAGGUCUUCAUAUGGGAAAUGCAAGGUUGUCUACCACUCCAUGCUUCUUGUGGUGUCAUUGAUGCAAGAACACUUGUUAGACAUUUAUUUCUUGUAUAUACUGCAUUCACCAUAGCUUCCGCCCAAAAUUCAUAGCCAAGGUUUUGAGCAUGUAACAUACUCCUUGCUAUCUCUACAAUGGUUUGAUUUGCCCUUUGAGCAACACCAUUUUGUUGUGGAGUGUAUGGAGUUGUGGUUUAUCUAGCAAUUCCUUCAUUCUUCAAAUAAAUAUCAAAUUGCUUAGACAUGUACUCACCUCCAUUGUCCGUACGUAGCACCUUGAUCUUGCAUUCACUUUGUUUUUCAACAAGUGCUUUAAACUCCUUAAACCUCCAAAAGCAUUCAUUCUUGGCUUUAAGAAUAUAGAUCCAAAUCUUUCUUGAAUAAUCAUCAAUGAAAGUGAGAAAAAACCUUGAUCCUCCAAUACUUAUAUUUUUCAUAGAUCCACAUACAUCUGAAUGGACAAUCUCCAGCAACUUGGUAGCAUGUGUUGCUACACUCCUUGGAAAUGAGGCCCUUUGUUGUUUGCCUUGUAUGCAUCCUUCACAUGUAAUUUUUUUUGCAUUUUGGCUUGUAUUUCCAAGAUCUAAGCCACUUACCAUGGUCUUGAGCUCUUUCAUGCUCUUCACAUUCAAAUGGCCAAGGCGACGAUGCGUUAUAUUCAACUUGUCUUCGUUUGAUAUAAACUCAACAAAUACAGCUACCUCUACUCCAUUCACCUUCUUACAAAUGAGGUAGUACAAAUUUCCGUCUUUCAAGCCUUUGAAAACCUUGUCUCCACUCAAUGAUCUUACAAAACAUCCAUUCAUAUCAAAUUGAACUUUAAAACCUUCCAUUACAAGUUUACUCACCGAAAGAAGGUUUUGCUUCAUCUUAGGCACAUGAAGGACAUUUUUGAGUCUCAUCCGAUUGGUUUGUCCAUUCACAACCACCUCCACCAUAAUAGAGCCAAUUCCAAUGGCUUCACAUGUACCACUAUCUGCCAACACCACGUUUGAUGCUCGAAUAGCUUCAUAAGUAUCAAAUGAACACUUAUAAGGUGUCAUAUGCUUGGAACAACCUAAAUCCACAAUCCAUCUUAACAUGGCAGCCAUAGAGGUCCCAUUUGUUGCCAUGAAUGCAUAAUCUUAUCUUCCAAACUCGUCUUGCAUACUAUUUGCAUUCUCCUUCUUCAUCUUUUUUCCUUUGUAGUAAUUUCGAGCAAAAUGGCCUAUUUUGCCACAAAUGAAGCAAGAUUUGACAUUACUUCGUUGAUUUGGAUAGUUGCCCUUGCCUUGACAUGAAUACAAUGCUGAAACUUCACUUUGGGGCUCCUUUUCUUUCUUCUUGGUUACUUCAUGGGCAAGUCUUGCCAUCACAUAGUCCAUUGUAAGUUCUUUUACCUUGAUGGAAUCCAAUGCCACAAUAAGGUAGUUGUAGGAUUCAGGAAGGCUCAUUUGCAAAGUCAUGACAAUAUCACUUUCUUCUACAGGCUUGUCAACAGUUGUUAGUUGGUUUGUAAGAUCCUUUACCUUAUUGACAUGAGCCAUGAGGUCUUCACCUUCUCCCAUCUUGCAAGUGAAGAACUUUCUCCUUGUAUAAAUGAUGUUGGAUAAGUUCUUACUCUCAUAGAUGUUGCAAAGAGUCUUCCAUGCUUUCGUUGGUCCUUUGCAAGAGAUAAUGUGAGAGAAGUUGGCUUCAUCCACAUUUGUUGCAAUCAACCCAAAAGCCUUCUUUUUACGAUGUUUGAACUCCUUCUUCUCCUUCAUAUCAGCAUCUUUGCUUGGAGCCUCUUCACUUUCAUCUAUAAUAUCCCAAAGAUCCAAAGAUGCCAAUAAAAGCUCCAUUUUGAUCUUCCAAUGGUAGAAAUUUUUACCUCUAAACUUCUCAAUAACUCUCAAUCCUUCACCCUCACUUGUUGCCAUGUCUAAAGAAGAGUUGUAUCAAAAAAGAUUGUAAGGAGAAGUCCUAAUGCUCUCAAAAUCAGCAAAAAAGUUUUGCUACCUUAGAAUCCCAGAAUCCUUCUUUGUGAACAAAUUAGUAUUUUAACUCUCAUAAACACUCUCAAAUUCACUUCUAAGACUUCUCACAAGUCUGGUGACCUUUCCAAAUCUAAAUUGUUACUCAAAUAUCUCUCUUAUAUUCAUAAAUCACCUCUCUACACCGAAAGAGGCCUUUUAAAGACAAUCAGUAAUUUUAGGACAUGAAAUUAUAAAGUAAGGUCACCAAAGAUCUAUCUCAGCAAUAGCACAAUGCAAAGUUUGCUUUUAGGUGAUAAACCAACCAACAACACCAAAAUGCUCUUAACAACAAAUAAGAGCAAACCAAGAUCUAGAUCUAGAUCUGAAUCUGAAAGUUAGGUACUUUUAAUGCCUAACAUCAACAAUAACAACUUGAUCUACUCUACACUUACAAAAUACUUCAAAGACUUCAAAAGACACUCAAGCAAAUGUAAGUGGGCCCAUAACCUAUUGAAGAAAAAGAAUUCUAAAGGCUACAAACACUUAGCAUCAGUAAGGAUUGUACUCUAAGAGAAAGUGUGGAGGAAGAUAAUUCUUACUUCCAACACUCUUUACCUAUAGGUGGUGGUUUGUACACCAACGAGGCAACUUCCAUCCAUUUGAUAUUACAUCCAUUCCUACCUCAUCUUAUUAAAGCUUUGGUAUCACCACAAUAACUUACUUUACCUCUUUGCUGCCUUUUUACUAUUAGCAACAUACUAUGCUUAAACUUUAUGUGAUUGUAACUAAGCAAGUACUUGCUAUUCUUCAACAGUCUAGACUUUCACAGAUUCCAUCAUGAAGCCAUCAUUAAAAAUGGUAUAUCUUGAGAAGUCACCUUAUUUAUUAUAAAAUAUACACAUUUCUAUCUUGGCAUAUAAUUAUGCAUUUCUAAGUUUUUGUAAUACAUGACAAAAAUGAAGUUCAUACUCUUCUAUAUUCUUAGAGUACAUUAAUAUAUUUUUUAGAUAAGAGAUAGUAGAUAGUAGCAAAAUCAUCAAGAAACUCUUAUAAAAUCAUUAUUCUUUAGAUAUUAAAAAACAACUGAUAUAUUUUUGAGUCUAAAAGGUAUGACAUUAUAUUUAAAAUAUACAUACCUAAUUCAAAUCAUACUCUUUCAUUCAUCUCUUCUUUUGAUGUUUAUCAAGUUGUAUGUUUUUCAUAGAUCUAUUUUUGUAAAGAUCUUUAUUUGAUUAAAUUAAUUAAAAAGUCAUAAAAUUAAAAAUAAAGGAUAUCUAUAGCUGAUAGUGAUCUUAUUGAGUCCUUAAUAUUUGCAAAGAUCCAUCUUUUUUCUUCAUAAAUAAGAUAGGAGUACUUAUUGGAGAUUUUGAAUGGUGUAUGAAAUUCUUAGCUAAGUUUUUAUCAAUGUAUUCCUUAACUAUAAUCAAUUUGUUUUACAAUAAGAUAAUGAUUGGUUCAAAUGGUACUUGAGGUCCUUCUUGAAGAUCAAUUGAAUAAUCAUUUAGAUGAUUUUUUGGAAAAAUAUUUUUAUUUUUUUUCUUAAAAAUAUCUUAAUAAUCUUAAUAUUGAUUUGAAAUGCCACUUAUAGUCUUUUCACCAUGAAAAAUAGAUGUGGCAUAUAUGGCAAAAAGUGACCAUUUUUUUGUAACAUGCAUGAAAGCUCUUGUAACUAUCAAUAUAUAUUUGAUUAUAUUAGACUUAUAAAUUUUUACUUGAUUGACAAAAUCUUGGCUUCAAUAAUAGCAAAAAUCAUGAUUAUAAGAAGUACAGUCUAUUUGAGGUUAUAAUUUUUUAGCUAUUACUCUCUUAAAAUAAUUGAUUAGAAAGAGAUUUAAUCAUAUUAAAUAUUACUAAGCUAUUAUGACCAUUAGUUUUUACAUAUAAAAGAAUAUUUUUAUAGGCAAAAUCUUUAAAAGACAACAAACGACCAUCUAUUAUUCUUACAUGAAAAAUUUUAAUUUUCUUGACUAAAGAUAUAAUUUGUAUCUAUAAAACAAAAUUUUUUUGACAAAAUUUGUAUCUAUAAAACAAAUUAAGGCUUUUGAAUCUAAUAAGACAAAGACUUUUUGAUUUUUUAGUCCUUAACAAACUUCUAUUAUGAAACAAAGUAAAGGAUCUUAAAAUAGAAUAAAAUCUUUAUUAUAUAUUAUAGAAGAUUUUAGAUAUAAGGUCUCUAUUGUAGUUAAAAAAAAUUGUUUAUGAUACAUUAUUAUCUUAUAUAACCAUGCUACUCAUUUUCUAAUUAUGUUGCUUCUUUGGAUAAUAUUAAAAAGUAUGUUUAAAUUAUCUAAUAUAUAGGCACAAACCUUCUUGAUGAUGUCAAGUCUAUUUUUGCUCAGUAAGGAAUUUCAAACUUAUCAUAUUAAUUUGUAUAGGCUUUGAAUUUCAUCUAUAAGCUUCCAAAAAUUUAAAAGAUAUUGCUAUGACUUGACUUAUAUCUCUUUCAAAGUGUCAAUUAUUGCAUGCAAUGGUUUAAGCAAUAAAUUACUUCAAUGUGUCUGCUUUUGGUAUUGUCAAUAAUAAAUCCUUGAUAUUAUCUUUUAAUCUAUACUAAAAUUAAUUGAUAAGGAAUUUUUUAUUUUAAUCUAUGUUGUAGGUAAGGUUUUCAAAUUUAGUAAUAUAUAUGGUGGCUAAAUGUAAUCUUAGUUAUAAAGAUAUAAAUUUAGUCUCUAUUAUGUUUUUAAUUACUUCUUCAAAUAUGGCCAUAAAAACUUUUACGAGUGAAUUCAAAUAAUAAAGUAAUUGUGAAUUAUUUUCUAUUAAAGGUGCAAAUGAAGAAAAAAUACUUUAAGUUAGAAGUGCACCUAUGGAUCCAACUUAAAUAAAUCCAUCAAAGUAUUGAAAAGGAUACAAUCUUAAAUAUAGGUUCACUAGUUAUAUAAAUCUUCAAAACUUUGAUCUUAUUUCAUAAAAAUUCUUUGGCAUAUUUAUCCUUGCUUCUUUUAUAUUUAUAGUAGUAGAACUUUUUGAAUUUAGUUAAGAAUUUGAUCAGCUUGCUUCUUAUAACUACACAACUUUUUGGCAUGGAUUUUGAAUGUUAUUAUUGAUUUUUUCUAUGGAUAUAAGAAUAAUACCUUCAUGAUUCAUGUUGAAAAUACAUAAAAUUUCUAUCUUUAGAGUAUCGACAAGCUUGUGAAGAUUUAUAAUAAUUAUAAAUUUAUUCUUAUUUUUGUUGAGAAUAAUAUCCAUAAAUUUUUUUUCUAAAGACAACUCAAACAAAUUCAAAAGUCAAAUUAGAGGACAAUAAUUUGCAACCUUUAAUAUCAAAAGAAUAUUUUUACAAAGAGAGGUAAUUUUUUUUAAAGAAAAAAUCAAUGUUAAAGAACUAAAAGUUAAUUUAAAGGUAGAUAGUCCAUAAUAUAAUAAUAGAAGUAGAAUAAUCCUGUAAUAAGGUAUAGAUAAGAUAUUUGUAUAGAGAUAGAUAGUUAGAACCAUGGAAAUUUUUAGAAUUGGGAUUAGGUUAGUGGACCAGGUAGGAUCCACCAUAAGACAUUCUAGAAAGAAUUUAGGGUAUUAAUUUAGGUAGGAUCUACCAUAAAACCUUGUAGAAAAGGCAUGGGUGGUUAUUUAGGUGGAUCCACCAUAGAACCUUCUAGAAGGAAUGUGAGGCAAUUAUCUAAGUGGAGUCUAUUACUUAGAUACAUUUUAGAAAGUCUAGGGUGUUAGAAUAAAGUAUAAAUAGAACUGGCCAAGUCCUUUUGGGGCAUCUGGUCAAGUAUGGCUUUGGACUCUUUUUCUAAAUACAAUUGGAUUUUUUAUCUUCUUAUUUUGUUCUAUUCUGUCUUAAUUUUGGUUGCUUAGUUUUGUCUUCUAUGGCCCAUUCUGUUUAAUUUUGUUCAAUUUUGUUCUGGUCCACUUUGUCCUACCUUGUGAUGAGGUUUUAUAUUACUGUAGAUUAGAAGGAUCUUAGAUAAUUGAGAUAGAUUAAUCUUGUUUCAAAUCCACUCUCUUCUAAAAGAAUAAAAAAAAGAAAAGAAAAGAAAAAGAGUUAGUUUUUUUCUCAAAAUUGUUAUGAGUCAUCAAAUUGACUCAUUUGUUGUUUUAGAACAAAAGAAUGCAUUGAGAGUACCAAUAUUGAAAUUGCAGUUGAAGAUUAGUCUAAAAUAGUUAAAUAAAAAAAUAGUAUUAAUAGAAAAAAUAUAGUUAGUAUAGAAAAUCUAAUAGAAAUUCUCAUAUAAAAGGUAUUUUAGAGAUAUCAAAUUGAUAUCUUUUUAUUAUCUUAAGAACAUCUAGAAAGAAUCUAAAAUAUUUGAGAUUCUAAUAUUAUAUAGUUUGUAUAUAAUAUAAAUAUAAUUUGAAUAUAUAAAAAAUAUAAUAUUGAUAUUAUAUUUAUAUAGUAUUGAUUCAAUAUACAUAAUAUAAUAUAAUAUAUGGAGUACAAGUAUAUAUAGUCGACUUUAUAUACAAAUUUUAAAUAAGCAAUAAUGGCAAGUUGAAUUUUAUUAUCUGAUUAUUAGGUGGUGGUUCUUAAGCAAUUUUUUUUUUCAUAUCAGGACUACAAGAAUCUCUACCAUCAUCACAGGUACUAUUGCAAUAGAGAUUUGGCUUAGACUUUAAUCUUCAUUUUGUUUUUUUCCUAUUUUAUAUUUUAUAUUUGAAGAAACUCCAAAUCUUAUUGAUAAUGCAGCCGAUCCUCCAUUAUUAUUUAAAUAUAGAUUUUUGGAAGGUUAAGUAGAAAGUCUUUGCUGUUAUUGUGCUAGAAAGUUGUUGGCAUAUUUCAAAGUAGUAUUGGCAAUAAGAAGUGGUAGUGUGGCUUUCCAUUGUUUACAUUGAAUCAUUGCCUUAAAUAAAUUAUGCAAUUGGUUGCAAAUCCUCAAAAAAAAAAUUGAAGCAAUUUUAUUACAUUGCCGUUUUUCCAUCCUAGAUAAUGUAAUUAAAGUUCUUUUUCAUUAUUCUCUUGUUAUUUCUUCUUUUAAAUUGGCUACAAUCGUCAAUGGCUAUAUUUGAUUUAUAUUGUACUUAUGUUUUAUAAAUAGUGAUGUUAUUUCUUGGAAUUGGAUUUGAUCAAUGUAUUUCUAGAAAAUAAUAUGUAAUUAAUUGUACUCAGAAAAGUCAAAAUUUUGGAGUAAGAAUCAUAGUGUAGGUGAAAGAAUAGAAGAUGCUGGAUUGUUGCAAUAUUGUGUAGAGUUCUUAUGGUAUUGCUUACUUUCAAGAUUGGAUUAUAUAUUCUUUUAAUCAAUAGUAUGACUAAUAAAUUUGUGUGGUAACAACAUAGGAGAAAAUUUGUUCUUUGUGGUGGCUCUACAAGUAAGCUAAAUGAGUUAAUGAGUUUCUUUGUUGCUAGCUACUCUUGCUUGGUUAGCAUUGUGAGAUUGAAGGAUCCAAUGUUAUGUGAUAACACAACUAUAUGGUAAUAAAUAAAAAUAUGAAUUUUAUCAUAGAAGAAUUUAGUAGAAAGAUGUAAUAAAAAAACAAAGAUAAAUCAUGAGAAGGUAGUAAAAUUUUUAGUUUUAGUAUUGCUUUUUAUAAAAGAAACUUUUAUUUAUUUUGUAUAGACAUAAAUACCUCAAAUCAAAGUAAAUAAAAAUAAAAAAAUAAUAAAAAAAUCUUUAAAAGAAAAUUAAAAAUUAGUUUAAAUAAAAUUAUUAUAAAUUAUCAAAAUAAUUUAUAUAGAGAAGACUGGUUGUGAACUUGGAUUGAAAUUAAAUUCGAAUGUACAAAACCAUGCACAUAUCGCAAUUUCAGGACUCUUUUGCAAAUUGGAGAGUAAGUUCUAAGAGUAGGCUUGAGAAGAAAUUUUAGAAAGUUUUUUUGAUAUCAUUUGGAUUAAUAUUGAGAUUUUGAGGAAUUUUUAAACUUAAGUAAAGUACUCAAAGGAUUCAGAUUUUGAAAAGUAUAAUAAGUUUCUAAGGUUGAAAAUUUUGUGAGUUUUGUAGCAUAUUUAUAAGUAAAAAUUUGGAAAUUUGUCAAUAUGCUUGUUGUAAAUGUGUGUAAUAAUUUGAAGUCAAUUAAGUGAUUAAAUUAAAGAAUAUGAGAGUUACUAUAGAUAAUGGCUUCAAAUUGAGAUUUAGAGGGCCAAUGAGUGUUUUUAAGAUAUCUGUCAAUUUAUUAGUUGAAUUAUUAUUAUAUAUAUAUAUAUAUAUAUAUAUAAUUUUAAUAGUAGCUAGACUUCUAAUAACUUUACAAAAUUUGGAAUAAGUUUAAUGGUAAAAUUAAGAGAUUUUGAUUCUAGAAUAUCAACAUCAAGGUUGAAAAAAGAAGCUGGCCAAGACUUGAGCAAAAUUUAGGAAUUAUUAUCUAUUUGAUAUGCACAAUCUUCUUCAAAUAUAUAUUUUUCUAAUUUUUAAUUUAGUUUUUAUAAAAUAUAUAGAUUUUGAAUCAAAAUAAAAAAUUUAAUUGUUACUUAUUGAAUUUUUAAUUUGCUAUAGAAUUUAUCCAAUAUUUAAGAUUCAAUUAGAUUUUAUUUAGAAUUGAAUUAGAAUUGAAUUAGGAUUUAGGAUUUUAUUAGGAUUUUAUUAGGAUUUUAUUAUAAUUUUACUUAGGAUUUGAUUAAGAUUUAUUAGGAUUUUAUUUAGAAUUAUGAUAAGAAUUUAAGUAAAAUUUAAUUUAAGAUUUAGUUAAGAUUGAUUAGGAUUUUAAUUGGGAUUAAAUUAGGACUGAAUUAGGAUUUAAUUAUAAUUUAUAUUUUUAUUAUUUUUUAAAUAUUAUUUAUUAUUUCUUUUAAAUUUUCUAUUUAUAGUAUUUUUUAAAGAUUAUUUUUAUUUUUUAAAGAUUUUAUCUCUAUAUUUUUUUUGGAUUUUUUUUAUUAUUUUUCUCUGAGAUUAAUUUAUGACUUCUUUGUGUUUCUUUUGUUACUUCUUUUAAAUUUAUUUUGGGUUGAUCAAAUUUUGAUUAAGAUUAUUAAAGUUUAUUUAAAGUUUAUUUGAUAUUCUAUUAGACUUGAAAGAAUUGUUGUUGCAUUUCUAUUUAUCUUCCAUAGUUAGAUGCCUAGUGCAUUUUAAAGUAAGAUUAUACGUAAUACAAUACUACUACAAGGUAUCUAUGUGUACAAAGAAGUAUUUCUUUAUUGUUGAUUAGCUAAUUCUUCUUUAGUUUAGAGUUCAAUAGAUCUGUGGCCAUAGCAUGGAAUUUAUCUAAUUUAAGGAGUUGCUUCAUUUUUAUUCUUCUUCUGGUUAUUACUACAAUAUAAAUUUUUCUUCUUUUGUUUAAGUGUUAUUAUAUAUCAAAGGUAUGCAAGGACGUUUUCACCAUGUAGGCCAAAUUACUUAAUAAUUCAUAUCUAGUCCAAAUUACUUAAUAAUUCAUAUCUAGUCCAAAUUACUUAAUAAUUCAUAUCUAGUCCAAAUUACUUAAUAAUUCAUAUUUAGUCCAAAUUCUUAUCAUACUUUACAAAGUCCAAAGAAUUUGCAACUCUUGUUAUUAUUGCAUUAGUUCAAAGGCCAACCACUAGUAUAAUUUUGACGUUGAAAUAGAAAUACAAUGUGCUUAGCAAAUUUUGAUUCUUUUCAAUAAAACUUAUUAUACAAAUAAAUGUUUAUACUUCAAGUACUAUCUAGCACAAGUGAAAGUUAUUGCUUUACAAAAAGUCAAUGUAGAUUAGGAUACAAAUUUUUCUUACUAUUUGGUAAUUGAAGUAAGUAUCUACAUUUACGUCAGUGGUUGUUGUAUGGAUUCUUAGCUUUGUUUGUGCUUUCAUAGAUUAAAGUUGGAGUCAUGCUGAAAAAUAGAAUAAUAUGUAAAAAUAAGGUGAAAUUUUAUGAAAGUUUGGACUAUUAUUAAAAAAAUAAAAAAAUAAAAAAAAUAAAAAAAUAAAAAAUACUUAUGUAAUUUAUUUAAAUUUGUAGUUUAAAUUUAGUAAUUAAAGAUAGAAGUUGUAGGAUUUAUUAGUAAGAAGUUUAAAAGGCUUUUGAAGUGAAAGGUAUAGUAUUUUGACUCCUAGAACAUACCAUAUGGGUGGAUAGGAUAAGUGAUAAAGGACUUCAUUUCUAUUAAUUGGAAGAUAUACUCAAUGGACUUUGAGAUGUUAACUGGGACCAUAUUGGAGUUUGGGACGACUUUAGGGUGACCUAUUUGAGACAAGGCAGACCAUUUGAGGGAAGGCAACCCAUUUAAAGUAUAGAGGCUGGAUUCAAAAAGCUGGUAUUUUGGGCUAGAAUUUGGGUAAAAAAAAAUGUGUAAUUUGCAGUAGUAAUGAGAGAGUUAUGGUUGUUUGAAGUUAGGAUGUGUUUUUGGUAUCUACUAUUACUCUUUUAAGCAUAUAGAGAGUUAUAGAAAAGCUUUGAAGAAUUGAAAAGUGAUAUUUAAAAUUUGACUUAAAAAAUUACAUUUUAUGUCAAAAUAUUGAUACAUUAUAAUCUAGAACAAAGGAGAAAGAGUUGUUGAAAGUUAGUAUUUAAAACUAGGAUUUGUAAGUGAGUUGUUUUAAUAGAGAUUUUGAUUUUUGCCAUAUCUUGAGUUUUUAGAUGAAUUUUUGGCUAAAUAUUUCCACAAAUGUAGAUAACUAUGUUGAAAAGUUGCAUAUGAAAAAUUUAUAGUAUUUGACCUUUGAAUUUUUGAAAUAUAAAAGAAUUAGUGCAUAGGUGCCUAGAAAUUGACAUGUUUAGCAUCUACUAGAGAUUAGGCAAUAUCUAAAGACUUGCAAUGAAUUUAUGGUUGAUUUUUUGUAUGGAAGUAAUUACAGAUAUAAGUUAACUUUUAGAGAAUUUUAAACCCACUUGGAUAAUUAGAUUAGAAGUUGUUGAGUGAUACAUAUACAAAAAGGAUCUCCAUAGGAAUAGAAGUGAUUUUAGGAUAUCUAGUUGCAUCUUGGGUAUUCUUGUACAUUCUAGACUUGUCUAUUUGAUGUAAUUGUCUUCUUGAAGAUAAGUUAUAAAUCAUAUUUGUGUUUUAUAAUCUUGCAUCUUUUUUGAGCAUUUAAUAGCAGUCAGAGGCCUAGCACUUUUUUGAUGCAACUAUCUCUACUACAAUAUUAGGCUAUAAGAAUGUUUAAGUCUUUGAUGUAGGAUAGCUUAAAUAUAAACAAAGAAGCGGUCAAGCCAAAGUGAGCAUUAGAAAGCAAGAAUAGAGGUAUUCAAUGAUUGAAUCAACUAACAAAGGAUUGUUAUUGGUAUUUUCUUAUAGUAAGAAUCUUAAUGAAAUUAUUAAAGAUUAGAGACUUUGAAACAGAUUGACUUGGAGUUAAAGUGGAAUCAUCAUUAAAAGGGUAUUUAUCAACGUUCUAAAGCAAUAAAGUAAAAAAGUGAAGCUUUAAGGUGUCCAAGCUAGAAGUACUUUUCAAUUUUGUCCAAAUUCAUUAUUAGUCUUUGUUAUUUGUAAAAAAAUCCAAUAAAUAUUGUAAAAUGAUAAUCUAUUAAUUAAAUAUCAUAAUUGAAUAUAAUUGAAUCACAAAUAAAUUUAAGAUUUAAGGAAAUAAUAAAUUAUGAAUGAAUUUUGAUUAAAAAUAGAUAAAUUUUUAUUUAUAAAUAAAAAUUUAUUUAUAGAUAAAAAAAUUUAUCUUAAAUAAUAUAAAAUAAAAUAUAUUUUAAAAAAUAAAAUAAAAUAAAAUAAUAUAAUAUAAUAUAAUAUGUAUUUUUUUAAAUAUAUAGAAUUUAAAGUAUUUUAUAUUAUUUAUUAGAUAUGAACUUAUUUUAGCUCAUAAUUAGAGAAUUUUAAAUUUUUUUGGAUAUAAAUUAAAUAAUAAUUAUAAAAUAAUAGAAUUAAUAGAUAAUUAAAAUUGUUACAAAGUAUGAUAGACUUCUAACUAGUAGAAAUUUAUUUUAGCUUAUAAUUAUUAAAGAUAUGAAUUUUGAACAAAUAAUUACUUAAUACAUUCUUCUAAGAUUAAAAAAAAUAGAUAUUCAUUCAAAAUCAAUAUAGUAUUGAAACUAGAAUGAUUAUUCUUAAAGAAAAAAAUACUAGAAAAUAUCAAAACAAGACUAAAGACUUGAAAGGUAUUGAUAAGAGUGAAGAAGGCUUCACUCUUACUUCUAUAUAUACUAUCUAACUAAGAGGUAUGUGGUGACAUUCUAUAGGAUCUCUAACAUGUAUUCAAUUUACAAAAUAAAUAUCAUAACUUGCAACAAAAGUUUUUUAUAUGUGCGCCAUAUGAUUAACUUGUAAUAUAAGUUAUCAAUAUGUGCAAUAUGUGGCUAAAUUAUUAGUGAAGUGUUCAAUCUAUGAAUCACCUAUAAACAUAUAUAAAGGUGAAACCAUGUCUAUGAAGCUUUUAAAAAGCUAUUUUGUAAGAUAUUAUCAAAUUAAUCUAUUUAAACUUAUUUUUUAUUUAAUUAUAUUAUCUAUGUAACUAUUGGAAUAGAUAUGUAUAUCUAUAAUAGAAAAAUUUGUGAUUCAAUUGAUUAUACCUUGCAAGCAUUGUUCUAAGACUUUAUUUGACAUACACAAUUUUGUUAUGUAUUUUUUAGUUAAAUUAAGGAAUAACCAUAAGAUUAUAUGUUGUGUCAAUAAGCACAACUAUAUUGAUACAAAUUGAGUGGAAAGUGGUUUAAGAAGCAAGUGGUUUCUAUACCAUCUAUAUAUGUUGAAAAUCAAUUAUUUUUUUGGUUUGAAAAUAAAACUCUUAUACAUUUGGCCUUUGUAGAUUAUUCAUAAUUUCAAAUAUUUCUUGUAAUGGCAUUGGUAUAGAAAUAGUAUUUAAAUCUCUUAUAUAGAAGUAUUUUGAUUUAGCUACAUAAACAAUAGUGGUGUAUGGAUCAUAAUACUCUUGGUUGCUGAAGAAUAUUGUGUUAUUAGGAAGCAUUAAUUAGUUACAAUAGAAACUAUACCACAUUGAGUUAAAUUUUCUUAUAGUAAUUUUAGGGUUCUAAAAGCACCAAAAAAUUAAGAAACGUUUAACAAAAAUGUGUCAAGGUUUGUUGGACUAAUAGUACUUAGCCAUCAUCCUUUGGCUAUUUAUAAUAUUUUGUUAUGCCAUAUUACAUAAUUCAUUGAUAUAAUAUAUAUCAACCAAUCUAGUGGCAAAUAUUUUGUAUAGAGUAUAAUCUUGAGGAUUGAAUAACUAAAAUAUUAGAAUAAUAUACUUAGUAGGAAGUAGUGGUUGAGUAUUAUAAACUAACUUAAAGGAAAUAGUCUCUAUUGCAUCUUUAUGUGCAAGUCUAUAAACUUGUUAUCAACUAAGUAAUUAAAAAUUAUACAAAUUUUAAGUCAAGGUGUACAAUUAAAUUAAUAUUUAUUAAAUUUUAAAAAUUACCAUAAUAUUUUUUUUAGAAUUUACUUAGAAUUUUUUUAAUAUUUAUUAAGGAUUUUAUUAUAAAUUUAUUAGAAUUUAGUUAAGAUUUUAUUUAAGCUUUUUUUUUUAGGAUUUAUUAAGACUUAUUUAGGAUUUUUUAUUAUUUUUUUAGGAUUUAUUAGAAUUUGAUUGGGAUUUACUAAGAAUUUUUAUUUUUAAUAUUUCUAAAAAAAUAUUUUUUAUUUCUUUAUUAUAUUUUUAUUUAUUUUGUAGGAUUUUUAUUUUUAAUAUUUUAUAAAUUCUUUUAUAAUUUCUUUAGAAAUUCUUUAAAAUUAUUAUUUUUUUUUUUAUAAUUUUUAUAUGAAUUCUAUUGAAUUUUAUUAAAAUUUGAUUAUAAUUAUUAAGUUUUAAUUAGAAUUUAUUUAAGAUUCUAUUAGAGUUUUAAAAAUUUUAUUAUUGCAAUUCCUAGUUUAUCUUCUAUAUCUAAGAGGUUGGUGCAUUCUCAAGCAAGACUUCACGUAAUUCGACAAUAUCCAUUACAAGGUAAAAAAAAAAAGGGUCUUUAAAAAGAUCUUGUUGCUCAUUUGACUUGAGAACAAUUUCAACUUACUUUGCAAUUGUCUUGGCAUGUGCAAAAUAGUCCAAAAAAAAAGUCCUUUUAGAUAAUCUAUAAGAAUAGAUAUAAGCCUACAAAUAUUUGAAGAAAGAAGUAAAGAGUCUAUUAUUUAAAAAAUAUUAUUCAUUCCAAAAAUAGAUAUAUAUAUAAAUUAUAGAAUUAUUGGCUAAUUUUUAGACUUUCUAUUUUAGUAUCGAAUAGUUUAUACUUUAUAUUUCAAAAAAUAUUAAUCUAAUCUACAUAUAUAAGUUUAUAUAAUUUAUUCAAAAAGAGGUUUUUAUUGAGUAUUAAUAUCUUAUAUUUGAAAAAACUAGCUUUGAUAAUAUGGUCUUUAAGGUAUAUUAUAUCUUGGAUUAUCUAUUUUGUAUCUAAAUCAUUUUUUGUAAUAAUAGGAUUAUUUCUAAAAUAUUAUCCAUUAAAAUUCUUUUUAAAUCUAAAAGAUAAAACUUCACCUUGAAUAGCUUCAUAUAGAUUUAGUUAUAUACCUAUCAGAAGGGUUGCUUGAAGUAGUAUAGAGAAUAUUAGUGGCUUUGGUAGUUGGCUUUAUAGUCAAGGCAUUAUAAUGCUUGGGAGAAAAAAUUAUUGAAGUACAAUAUUUAAAUAUCCCUAUGUUGAAUUUUUUAUGGUUAUUUACUUAAGAAAAAUUAGAUUAGAAUUAAAAUCCAAAUUAUACUAAAUUUCAAAUAUGAUCCAAAUAUAUUGCAAAAACCAUUAAUUAUACAAUCAAAGUGAAUGCUUUUAAAUAGUGCUAUGGUUGCUUAUUUUUCUAAUAAAAUUGACACUAAUUUAUAUGUGAAUAAGUUUAAUGGUGUGCUUGAUUCAUUCCCAUGAAGCUUCUUUACUUAUUUUUGUAAAGCAUCUUGACUCCAUGAAAAAUCUACAUAAUUGGUCUUUUAAUCUUAAAAGAAUUGAUUUAGAAAGUUAUAACUUUCUAUUUGAAUGGUAUUAAUAUAAACAAGAUGUAGAUUAUUAUAAUAUUAUGACUUACCAAAUUUGUAGGAAGAAAUUGAAUCCACUUUUAAAUUAAUUCUAUUUUACAACUUUCAUUUAUAUUGAUCUAAGUGUGCAUUCUAAGGUCAAUUAGUUCCUAUCAUAUAUGGUAUUUUUGAACCUCAGCUUUGUUGUAUAAUAAAAGUUCUUUUGGAUUUGUAAUACUAUCCAUAGAUUCAUUCCAAACUUAGUGAUGAGGGCUAGCUUGGAUAAGUUACAAACAACUUGGUGACUAUGGCAUUACCGAAUCUUAAAAACAAUGGAUAUUUAAAAUCCAUCCUUAUUAUAGGUACAGUGCAUUGUAACUUAAUCUUGCCUCAAUAUACUAUUUUAGCUAUGGUGAGGCUUUACAAAUGAUACUUUUGAAUCAUUCUUUUACUUCUUAUUGAGAUAUAGUACCAAAUAUCAUCCUUACAACACAAACUUCAUAAAAUCUUUAAUUUUACUAAUUUGAGCUAAAGAUAUUAUAAUAUUAUAUUGUGGCUUUGUUUUAAAUGAUUGCAAAAACUUAUGGCUAAUAGUAGUUUUGAGUUUUGAACUAGUCACAAUAUCUUUAAUUUUACUAAUUUGAGCCAUGGAUUUUACAAUAUUAUGUCGUGGCUUUGUCUUAAAUGAUUGCAAAAUCGUAUGGCUAAUAGUGGUUUUGAGUUGUGAACUGGUAUUGUAGAUUUCCUUGCAUCACUACUUUGAUGGCAAUCAUGCCUAUAUUUUAUGUCACCUAUUCUGCCAAUGUUUAGCUCAAAAGGCCAUUAAAAUUAGAUCACUUUCUAUUUCAACAUUGAACCUUAUUAUAUAUUAGAAGCAAGGCAAGAAAUAAACAAAGUUGACCAUUGAAGUUAAUUGCAAUUUUCUAAGACAUUUGAUGAAUGACAAUAGAGUAUAUUCACAAAUAUAUUUUCAUCAAAUAUAUACAUAUAUAGAUGUUAUUUAUUUGUAAUAUUAAAAUUUCAAAUAUUUAAUAAGGUUAUGAAUCAAUAUAAAUAAAAAAUAUUAGAUUUUUAAUUUUAUUUUUUUCUCAAAAUAAAAAAUAAAGAUCAUCAACAUAUCAAUUGUCUUAUUUACUUAUUUUCAAGUUGUUUACUACUACAAAUUUGAAGAAAAUACAUAUAUAUGUUUGUAUCUAUAUAUAUAUAUAUAUAUAUAUAUACAUAUAGUUAUAUAAAUUUCAAGAAUGGCUGAUGAUAAAUAGCAAUGUUUUGAUCAUAUAUGUUUUAAAAAUUUUCACUACAGAUUAUGUAUUGGAGGUUGCAUUUGAGGACUUUUUUAUUGUUAAAUUGGCACUUAUAGUGUUCUCCAUUCUUAAGUUUGCUUAUCAAAUUGUGCUCAAAAUCUCCAAGUCAGAUGUAACUUCUAUAAGUUUAUCCUCCCUGACAAAAACUGUCCUACUCAUUAAUGUUUGAUUUUAAUUUCUAACUACUGUGCUCCAUAAGUGACAAGAUCAAUACACAUUUCUCAAAUACUUUGUUCAUUUCAGGUCAUUAUUUCUGGUUACUAGUUCUAAAACUUAGAUUCUUCAUUGUUUUUUUUGAUAAUUAAGUUUGAGUGUAUAAUAAUUGCACAAAUUGUAUAUCAUUCAUCCAUGAGAAAUUCUUCCAUUGAAAAAUUUCAUGUGUAGGCUAAGUUCUGUUGAUGAUAUGCAAUAGAAAUAUAAAUACAAAUACAUUGGAUAUGGUUCUUUAAGACACAUGCAACGUAAAUUCUAACUUUUAAUUACUUGAAUCAUAACAUGCUUCAAUUGUAAUCUUCUAUUGCAAUUCCAAAUGAAUUGUUUUAAGUUUGUUUUUGUUCUAAAUGAUUGUCAUAUUUAUUUUUUCAAAAUUAAGCAUAUUUUUACAAUUUUUUUUAAAAAAUAGACAAUGUAUUGAAAAAAUCAAUAAUGUAUGUUUAAAAUCUUUAAUGAAUUUUUAGUAAAAAUAUAAGGUUGCAUGCAAGUACAAUUUUAAUCAUAAACUUGGCUUUCCAACUAUUAUAAUUGGUGAUUUUGGAUACAUAUAUAAGUUGCCAAUGGCCCUUGCUAGAUUUUUAACCUAUUUUUUGGAAAAGUUCAUAUAUAUAUAUAUAUAUAUAUAUAUAUUUAGAAAAAAGUUUCAAAAGAUCAAAAAAAGUUAUUUAACAAAACUAGAUAAUGUAUGGCUAUUUAUCAAAAUAUCAGCCAUCAAAAUUGAAUAAAACUAAUUAUUAAUUAAUUUAAAUUAUAUAUAAAUAAAUUCUUCAAUAACUGGAUUGAAAGUUAAGAGAAUAUAAAUAAUGAUACAAUUUCUAAUCUAAAAAUUUCAUCAAAUCAUAUAGAAACUUUUAAUUAUUACAAGAGUAUUUUUUAUUCAUAUUCAUGUUGAAAAACAUGCUGGUUUGGCCAUACUUCAAUACCAAUGAAUAAAACAUGUAUUUUAUUUAUUAUUUUAUACUUUAAUAAAAAUUUAUUUUGAGGAAUAUUAAAUGAUUUUUAUUUCUUCAAAGAAUAAAUUGAGAUCAUAAUUGGUGAAUUUGAUAAAUGAUUUAAUUUUGGUUUUUCUAUUUUUAAAUUUUAUAUACCAUAAAAUUUGAGUUAAUUAGAGAGCAAUGAAAUACAUAAAUUUAGAAUACUUGGUUUGAAAUUCACUAAAAUAGAUCAAGUUUACUAAUAAUUUUAUCAAUUAUUAUCAUACAUACAAAACAGGGGACACAAAGUAUAUAUCUUCAAAUGCUCAAAUAAAAUAUUAGUCUGCAAAAGCGUAAGGUAAAUUAUAGAAUACUAUGAAACAAUAUUAAACAUAAAAUUUACCUCUAAAUUUGUAGAUUUUUACUUUACUUUGAGAUGAAAUUGUUUCAUAAGAAAAUAUUUUCCUUUACUUACACAAGAUAUUCAUUUGGAAACCAGUACAUAUACUGUGUUUUCUAUCACAGUUUGAAAAUCACUUGUGAAUUCCUAUUAGUUUUAUUAUUUGAUUGAUAAUGUAAACUAAAUUCCUCAUGUCUUAUGUUUUGAUUUUGGUAAAUUCUUCAUUUCUUAUAAUUUGAUUUUGGUGUAUUAAUCCUGUCUCUAUUCUUUAUUAAAUUUGUAUAAUUUCAUAUUCAUAUAUAUAUAUAUAUAUAUAUACAUAUACUUAUGUGAAACAUUUGUUCAUUUUACCUCUUAUUUAUAUCCCAGAUUUCAAAACCAAUUCAACUUAUUACACAUACAAUACAUGUUAUAUUAAAAUGCUCUAAAUAAUCAAAAAGAUUUAUCAGAAAAGGAUUUGUCUAUUGGCUGGAUAUUAAACCACAAAUAAUCCCAAUAAUAUUUUUUUCUAUCUAUUUUAUAAUUUUACAUCCAAUAAUGAAAAACAUAUAUGUUUCAAACAAAAUCCCUAAUGUAGAUUUUUAAAUCACCAAAAUUUUAUAUAACUUAUUUGUAAAAAAUAUAAUACAAAGUGAUAUGCUAUUAACUAAAACUAUAAUAGUGCUACCUUAUCAAUCAAUUCAAUGUGUUAUCCAAUGUAUAUUAGGUGUGAUAAAUCCAUCUAACAAAUAUAUAUAUCAUCUUCUCCAUUCUCUUAAUCAAAACUAUUUUUUAUUAUCAUAUUUUUAUUUGAAAUUGCUUCCUCUAAUUUCAGAAGAAUGGAAGCUUUACAAUCAAGAUCCAUUUGAAGCAAUCUAAAGUGAGGUACGAAAGCAAGGCUACAAGGCAAUUGAGAGAGUGAUUCACAAUCCAAUACAUUCAGUUCUACAAAAUUAGAAAAGCUCUCAAAGCUUACAUGCUCAUACUCCAAAUUUUUGAAGUUGUCUCAACCAUCUAGUCUUAAGGUUUGUAAGUUCUUCAAUUUUGCAAAUGAAUGUGGAAUAGCAUCAAGCUCCCCCCAAUGACUGUAAACCAACCUAUUUAAGACAUGGCAUUGCACCAUCCUCCAAUUCUGGCAAACAUGCAAGUCUUGCUCAUUCUCCUAAGUUGAAAUCCACAAUAGCUCCAAAACCACCUUUUCUACCAAAAGAAGUUGGUAGAACCUCCAAAACAUCAAAAUUCAUGAUACACAAACUCACCAAGUUUGGAAGACGAUCUAGAGCUGAAAGUACGACCAACGUUAGACAUGCUAUAUUUAGGGUUUUCAGAAGUGAGAGGGAAUACAAAGAGUCUGGAAGAGAAAAUCAAUCCCUCACAUUUAAGCCAAAGGCAUUCCAAGUGCUGAACAUUUGGGAAGUCCCUCCCAAAGGCCUGUUCUCCACAAAUACUCACUUCCAUAAAUAUACAGAAUUUGCAACCUGGUGAGGUGAAUCAAAUUGGAAGAUAAGUAACUGAGACGCAGACACCAAUCAAGAUACAACUCCUCCAUGCCGGUAAACUUCCCGAUUGACUUUAGGAGUGUCUCUUACCCGUCCAAGACAAAUUGAGUAGUGACGGAGAUUUUAGGUCUCCCACACUCUCCGGCAGCACCUUCAUACAAGUCCCCCUCUGAUCCAGAACGCGGAUGUUACGAAGGUUGUUGAAGAAUUUCUUCGGAAUACACUCCAAUAGAUUUUCUUGUAACAGAAGAACCUCCAGCUCCGGGGCAUCCAGUUUGGCAGGUAGCUCCUUCAGAUUUGUCGACAUGACAGACAACCUCCGAGCGGAAAGUCUAGUCCUCCUGCCUCUGCCUGGAUCCUUGGUAUCAGAACAUCUUCUCCAUUCACGAGGCAAUCCAUCCCUCAUGUCCCGCCCUGCCUCAUACAGGCACUCUCGCUCGGUGACGGCUUUCUCAUGCUGCACUAUGUGGCGCUCCAGGUCCCGAAGAAUAUCGUGCACCAUGCAGUACAAUUCACCAUUUUCAUAGCUUUUGAGCUCAAUCAGCGAGCGGGAGACCAGCACCCCCACCAGCCCACAUGCUUCUAGCUUCGGAGCAUACAACUGACCCACAAUCCCUUCCGCUCUCCACAACGGCAGCAAAUCCUCGUUUACGUCGACUUCCCAAUCCUCUGGAAAUGCAGCGAGUACACAAAGCAAUCCUGCAAUCUUCGAUCGAUACUUCCAAGCUUUUCCAGCUCCGGGGGGACAUGAGAGGUCCCUCGAAACGCUUGCCAGCAGAACAACUUCCAGCUGUUCUCUUCAUCUAGCAACACGACUGCGAGCUUCGUCACAUGAUUUUUGUCCAACACCUCCUCUAUGAGAGUGGUGACGAGGAUUUUGCACCCCGCUCUUAAGGGGACCAAAGAUGUCACCAAGCGUAGCAAAUCUUCUUUCCAAACAACGUCCUGAAUAACCAGCAUGUUCUUCUUAUCCUUGAGCUCAUUACGUAGCUAUGCUAUCAUAUCUUUCAUGGGAAUUUUCCCGCCAACCUCUGAGGGACCAGUGAUCUUCAUUCCGAAGCCUAGGAAGAGACUCCGCACUGACAAAUCUCCACCGACAAAUCUCCAGCUCCUUCUCGUGCUUGUGGUCGUUCCAUUCUGGAAGCGCCACCUCCUCCAACAUCACCAACAAAUGUUUUUCCAGCACUGGUUGCAGAACGGUUAAUGCCAGAGCUUCCGCCAUUUGUAGAUGGGGCACCGUCUCAGAACUCGAUGUUGUAGAUGAAGUGUUCGAAGUAAACGAAUAAAAAUAAUCGGUGCAAUACCAAUGUCAACAGCCAGGCAAGACAAUAUUAUGUGCCACUGGAAACCUCUCGUAAGCGAUAAUGAGUCGGAUCUGCGUUUGAAAGGCCGAUCAAAUGAGUAAUUGGAACCUGAGUUGUACAUGAACAGAGAAUAUCAAAGGCGAGCUCGCGACAUCACACAUGCCCCAGCGGCAUCGAAGUGGAGGUCUGACCAGGGCAAGUUGCGGACAACUUGGUGACUAUGGCACUGCAAAGCCCAAAGAACGGUCUGCAUUUAAAACCCAUCCUCGCUGAAGUAACGUUGCAUUGUGACCUGGUCCUGCCUAAGAAUGGGACUCCAGCCAUGGCGGGGCCUUGCAAAGAGUGCUUUUGAAUCAUUCUUUCACCUCUUUCUGAGUUAUCGCAGCAGAUAUCCUCCUUACAACAUCGACCUCACAUCAUCGUCAACAGUGCUGAUGCUUUCUAUGUACUUUGCAGAAUUGUGUUGUUGCUUGGUGUCAAGUGACUGCAAAAUCUCAUGGGUACUGGUCGUUUUGAGUUGUGAGCUGGUGUUGGAGAUUUCCUUGCAACAGUGAUUCGACGGUGUUCGUGACUGCGGUUUUCGUCACAGGGUCCGCUAAUGAUUAGAUAAGAAGGUCAUUAAAAUUAGAUCAGAAGGUCAUUAAAAUUAGAUCAUUUUCUACUUCACCAAUGAACCUUGUGACAAGCAAGGCACGGUAUAAGCAAAGUUGACCAUUGAAGCCAUUCACAGUUUUGUAACAAGUUUGGUGAAUGAGAAUAGAGCAUACCAGCUAAUAUAUUUUCAUCAAACAUAUACAAAUACAGAUAUUUUCUAUUUGAAGCAUUCAAAUCUCAAACACAUUACAAGACUAAGAAUUGUUUUGAGUGAAAAUUAGACAUACACUUGUUCUUUGUUUUAGUAUAUUGUGUUAAAAAGAAGCGGAUAAAGAUCUCAAAUAUACCAAUAAUCUAGUUUACUUAUUUUCAAGUUGUGUACUACUGCAAAUUUAAGGAAUAUACAUAUAUAUAUAUAUAUAUAUAUAUAGAUAGAUAUAUUACAAAGUGCAUACACAUGUGAAGUAUAAACAAUAUAUUUAUGACUAAAGUAUCAGACUUGAAUAUUUAUAAAGAAAAUUUGCCACCACAAAUAUAACAUAAAGAAGGAUUAGACUUGUUGGGUUAUUUGCUUCAAUAUUGAAACCAUAAAGUGGAAUAAAUAUGACAUGAGGUACAAAAAGGCAAGAAAUGAACAAGAUGGUGUCAUGUGGUAACACGACUAUAUAGUGAAAAAUAAAAAAUAUGGAUGUUAUUAUAGAAGUUCCUAGCAAAAAGAUGUAGUAGAAAAAUAAGGAUAAAUGAUAGAAAGGUAAAAAUAUAUUUAAUCUUAAUCUUGGUGUUUUAUAGAAGGAACUUGUUUUUACUUUAUAGAGGCAUAAAUGACCCAAAUCAAAGUAAAUGAGAUAAGAAAUUAAUAUAGGCAUGUUGAGGAGAGAAUUAACAAUAGGAUAAAGUAAAACUUACCUCAAAUUACUAAAAAUUGACACUCAGAGAAGACUAGUUGUCAACUUAGAUUAAAAUCAGAUCCUAAGGCAUAUAACUACAUCUACAUAGUAACUUUGAGAUUCUUUUAUAGAUUAGAAAGUGAGAUUUGAGAGGAGACUUGAAAAUAGAUUUUUAUGCAUUGCUUUUAUAUUAAUUGAAUUAAUAUUGAAUUUUUGAAGAAUUUUCAAAGUUAGUGAUAUUCUCAGUUGAUUUAGAUUUUAAAAACUAAAAAUAGAUUUAUAAAUUUGAGAAUUUUUUGAAUUUUAUAGUGUAUGUAUAAGUAAAAUUUUAGGCAAUACAUUAUGCUAAUUGUGAAUGUAUAUGAAAAUUUUGAUAUCAAUCAAAUAGUUAGAUUGAAGUGUGUGAAGGUUUUUGUGGGUUGAAAUUUCAAAAAUUAAAGUUUGAGCAUCUAUGAAUAUUUAUAAGAUUUCAAUGAUCUAUCAAUUGGAUUGUAGUGAAUUGUUUUAGAUACAAGACUCAAUUUUCAAUGUUUAAGUGAAAUUUGAGAGUAAUUCAAUAGUUCAAGAAGGAGGUAUUAGUGAUAGAAGUUAAGCAUUUAAGUUAGAAUAAGAGGCCACCUAAUACUCAAUUGGAUUAUCUUUUAUUUCUCUCAAUUGGUAAGUGCAAUUGAUUUCAUCUUUCUUGUACUUGUUUUUAACCAAGAUAUUAAAAAGUAUGCAAAUUUUGAGUUGAUAUCAAUAGUUUGAUCAUUAAUUGUUGAAAUUCCAUUUUGCUAUAGAAUUUGGUUUAGGAUUUAUCUGCAAUUUGGUUAGAACUUAGGAUUUGGUCUAGGCUUUGGUUAGAAUUAAGGUUUACUUGGGAUUUGAUUUAGAACUUGACUAAGGUUUGAUUAGGAUUUGUCUAAGAUUUUUCUAGGAUUUCAGAUUUCAUUAGGAUGUUAUAAGAAUUUAAUCUAAGAUUUGAUUAAGAUUUAAUUAAAGUUUCAAUUAAAUUUGAUUAAGUUUCAAUUGAUUUUUCUAUUUAUAGUAUUUAAAAUGAUUCUUUGUUAUUUCUUUAAGUUUUAUUUCUUAUAUUUUUUUAAGUUUAUUUUUAUUUUUUUAAAGGUUUAUUUUUUAUAUUUCUUCAAGAAUUCUUAUUAUUUUUGUUUGAGAUUAGGUUAGGGCUUUUUUGUACUUCUUUUAUAACUUCUUUUAAAUUUAUUUUGGAUUGGUCAAAGUUUAAUCAAGAUUAUUAAGGUCUAUCUAUUCUUAUUUAAGAUUCUAUUAGACUAGAUAAGAUUAUUCUUACAUUUCUACUUACUUUUCACAACUAGGUAUUCAAUGCAUUCUUAAGAAAGAACAUAUAUAAUACAAUAAUAGGCCUAUACCAAUGUUCUAUUGUAGUUUGGCUACUAUGUGAAAAUAAUGCUCAAUUAACUAAUAUACAAUUUAUUAUACAAUGUAGUGAGAACUUUAUUAUUAGAUUUUAAUUAGUUAUAAAAUGUGAUUAGAAUGUUAAUUUGAAGUAGUUAGUCUAACAUGACUACUAUUGAGGUCGAUUUUAUAUUUAUAAUAGUUUUUUUUUUUUUUAAUUAGAGCUAUCUUUAUUAGACAUUGGUAAUUCUCAAAAUCUUGUUUUAUUUCUUUUAUUUAGUAUUCAAGGCACAUAUUAUGUAAAACUUAUUAAAAAAAAGAUUAGACAAGGAUUUUUGUAUUAAAAGUGAUAGUUAGGCCAUCCAUAUGGAUGAAUGGGGAUAUAUAAUAAAAAUCUCCAUUCUUAUUUGCCAAACGUCAUGCCCAAUGGACUUCAAGGAUGCUACUUGAGAUCUUAUUAUAUUAAUUAAAUAUAAAUCUUAUAUGAAAAGAGAUUGAAGAAGGAUUUUGGUAGCAAAAAAGGUAGUUAGGGCAUCCAUAUGAAUGAAUGGAGAUGGAUGAUAUAAAUCUCCAUUCCUAUUAGUCAAAAAUCAUAACCAAUGGGCUUCAAGGAGGUUGCUCGAGGCCAUAUUAGGAAUUAGGAUUAGUCUUUCAAGGGGAUUUGAACAUCAAAGUCUAGGAUUGGUAAAUUUAGGUUUUUGGCUAUAGUUUUGGUUCAAAUUUUGAGUCAUUUGGAGUUUCUAUGAAGGAGGUAUAGGCGCUUAAAAUCAAGAUGUCAAUUUUGUACUUAUUGUCACUCUUUUGGAUAUAACGCAUGCAUAUCGAAUGCAAUUAAGGAUCGGUGACUAGGAUUGAUGAGAGCACUUUUUCAACUAUACUUCAUGCAUACUACUUAAUGAAUUCUAAGCUAGAAUAUAGGAGAUAUUAAAAGUUGAAGUCAGCACUUAGAAUCUAAGAAGGAGUAAGUGACGUGAAUUACUAGUGGUUGUGGUUUAAGCUAUAUCUUGUGCAAUUUGAGAAGAUUUUAGCUCAAAAUUUUCUUAAAUUUAUAUUUUCAUGUUACUAAAUUUUAUACAUAAGAUUUUUGAUAUUUUAAUUUUAAAUUUGUGAGAUAUAAAGAAAAUAGUAUUUAGGUGUUUGUCAAUUAGGAUUUUAGAGCACUUCCUAGGGGUUUUCAGUUGCCAGAAGAUCAUUAGUGAAUUUAUAGUUAAUUUUUUUUGAAGUAAAGCUUAAGAAUAAAUUCUAUAAUAUCUAUAAAUUUGACAAAAAUAAAAUAGUUGGAUCAAGAGAUAUGAAUUUUUGAAGUUUGGGAAGAAAAAAUUCUUUGCAAAAAUAUUAUAUUUUGAAGAGAUUUUAUUAUAAUUUGAAUAUUUUAUACAUAGUAAUGAGAUUUUUGGAAGUCAAGACUUUAUUUAUUUUUCCAAGAUAAUUUGCUAUAAUAUUUUUGAAGUGAGAUCCUCAAAACAUGAUAUUUUCUUCACCCUUUCAUUUGUUAGCCGUGUUACAUCACGACAUCCACCCCCCUUGAACCUAUGCAUCCUCUGAUAUGCACCAAGUUCCUUCAUUAUAUUGAUAUUGAAUGUUCUUUAUCUUGGUCAAAUUCUUGAUCUUUAUUUUGCUCUUUUUCUUCCAUCUCAAUAUCUCCUAAUAGAUUUUGUUCUUCAUCAAAACAAAUGUCUUUACCUCUUUGAUUAAACAAUUUGAUUUGCUUGCCUACUAUUGGUAUCUUUAAAUCUGUACCAUCCAGUUCUCAUAAUAAGUAUGUUCCAUUCUCGUGCACUUGUUUGACAACAUAAGGUCCAAACCAUCUCCUUGUAAAUUUCUUUGUCGUACUAUGUUGGUUGUCCAAACUACUAUCAUAAACCAACACCCAAUCACCGUUUUAAAUUGGUUUUGGACGCAAUCGAUGUUUUUUGUCAAACCUCUCCUUGUUUUUUUCUCUCGCUUCUUUCAACUUUCUCAUAGCUACUUCAAUAUCCUUGGGCCUUCUUUCAAGUUGUCAAAUUCGUAAUGCGAAUAACUCUUCUCUUGUUAAACUAUCUUUUCAAAGUAAUAUAGCCUAUGUUGAUACAACUUCCUCUAUCGGCAUUACCGAUUUUUGACCAUACAUCAAUUCUGCUGGCAUGUAUCAUAUAAUUGUACUAUGAGUUGUGCAAUCCGUCGAUAAUGCAAAUGGUAAUAAUUUAGGCCAAUCACUUAUCUUGCCUUUGCAUGCUUUAACCAAUGCUUUAAUAAUCGGAGAAUGUCCACGUUCACUCUUGCCAUUCCCUUCCGGAUUAUAUGUUGUUUUUAAUGCAAGUUUAAUAUCCAUCCUCUCAAAGAACUCUCGUGCUUCAUUUGCAUCCAAUUCUCCUCUAUCUGCAGUGAUUUUUCCAAUACAUCCAUACCGGCAAAUAAUUUCUUCUAAUAUAAACCGACAUACUCCUUCCGUAGUCUUUGUUGAAAGUGUUCUUCCCUCUAUUUGAUUUGUCAAAUCUUCCCGAGCAAGUACCAAAUAUUUUCUCUGACCAAAUCCCAUUGGCAUUACAACUAAAUCAACCACCCAUUUAUAAAGAAUUACUAAUGGAUAUGUAAGAUGCAAACCAUCUCAAUGAUGAAUAUUUGAAUAUAUUUGGCAAGUUUCACAAGAUCCUACAAAAUCUGCCACAUCUCUGUACAUGCCCUUCUACCAAUAUUUUUCUUUCAACUUAAUAAAUGUUGCCUAAAUACCUCAAUGCCCUACCCAUAAACUUUUAUGAAAUUUCUUAAUAAUCUUUUGUUGAGCUUCUAAACCACAUAUCACUCGUUGUGGUACUUCUCCUCUCUUCUUUGGAUGCUUCCAUAAAUAUUCAUUCCGUAAAAAAUACCCAUAGGCUUUCUUUUGGAUUUUCUUAAAUUCUUGAUCUAUCCAACCAUCUUGUCGCUUUAAUGUGCUUAAAUACUCCCCAAUGUCUUUCCAUUCUUUUUCAUAUAGAUCUCUUGAAAAUAUUUCUAAUGGUAUAUUCAAAUAUAUACUUUCUUCCUUUGAUAAUGCAUUAGUAUAAAAAUUUGUACCCACAUCAUCUUCUAAAUCUAUCAUAUCUUCUUCAUCGUAAUACCUUGCUCUUGAUAACAUAUCUGCGACUGAAUUUUCUUUUCCUAUAAUAUGUUUAAAUUCCAAAUUUAUAGAUUUGAUAUAUGCCAUCCACCUUAACAUAGCAAUAUCAGGAGUUAAACAACUUGUAAUCAUACCCAAUAAAGGUAGACAAUCUAUUUCUACAACUACUGAUGCAUCAAUCAAAUACUCCCUUUCAUUUUUCAUAGCUAUUACUACACCAUAUAAUUCUCUUUUGAUUUGUGCAUAUAUCCUUUGUCUAGCAUUCAAAACCUUUGUUCCAAACCUUACUACAUAUCUAUUCUCUUGUUCAUUAUCUUGUCUAAUUGUCCAACCUAUUCCAAUUGGACUUGCAUCAACUGUUAAUAUUACUAGCCUUCCACAUUCAUAAUUUACUUUCUUCAAAGUUGGAGGUGAAGAAAGAAAUUCUUUUAACUUUGCCAUAUCUUUUCUUUGUUCUUCUUUCCAUUGAAAUUUUUGAUUCUUUCGUAACAACUCAUAUAAUGGAUCUGCUAUAUAUGCAAAAUGAGAUAUCCAUAUAUGAUAGAAAAUACAUGCUCCUAAAAACCUAAUGACUUCCAUCGUAUUUGCACACUCUUUCAAUUUUUUUAUAAUAUCAACUUUUUUCCUACUUGGUUUGCAUCCAUAUAAACCACACAUGUGCCCUACUACCAAAACUUCUUUUAUUCCAAAUAUUGAUUUUGUUCCCAAUAAGGUUAAAUGAACUUCUUCUAGUCUCAUCAAAAUCUUCUCACAAUCAUCAAUAUGAUCUAUCACAAACUUCCUACAUCCCUUUGAAUCAAAUGUCUCAUCCUUUCUUUUUUCUUCAUAUCCUUUAAUUGGCACAUCAUCUAGAAAAGAUAUUGUUAUUCUUGAAAUAAAAUCUUUUAGCAUCUUAUGUAUUCCAUUCAUCAUGUGUGCCACAAAAUUUGUAGCCCCUUGUAGUAAUGUACACAUUCUGACCAAUCCCAAUGGUGUCUUUAUAAUUGUCAAAUCUCUACUUUGUAUUACCAAUUGAAAUUGAUCGUUUCCUGAAUAAAGAUCUCCUAUAGAAUAAAUUGAUCUCCCUGCAAAUGCCUCUGCAAACUCAUCCACAAUUGGACUUGAGCCCAUAUUUUUAAUAGUUAUUUUAUUUACCAGUUGCAUAUCUUGAAUAAACCUCAAUGUUCUAUUUUUCUUAGAUACUGUGAACUACCGAUUGGAAUAUGGUACAAUAGAUGGUUCUAAAAUUUCCAUCUUAAUUUUUUCAUUGAGUAAUUCAACUAGCUUUGGCAAAUGGGCCUUUGGAACUGGAAUUGGCUUCAAGUUCCAUGGUUCAUGCGGAAUUAUAAAAAUAACCAUAGGUGCUAUAAUACUCGGAUCAAUGCACCAUAUUUCAUGUGAUUCAAAUGCAAAUGCUUUACUAUGUCAUGAAAAUAUUUCUUUAAAACAUCUCUCCUCAUCUCUUGUCAAAAAUUUAUCACAGCCAAUUUUCAAACCAUCUAACGUUAAAUAAUCCUUGAAUUCAUGACCUAUUUUCUUUCGAUCUCUUAAGUUAGGUUGCAUAGAAGCUCUUUUAAUCCUUUCUUCAAAAUCCGUUGGUAGUGGCAAUGUCACUAGUUUAACCUUUCUUGCAAUAGUCUUAUAUUUUGUGUUCACUUUCACUUCAUAUCUAUCCAUAUAUUCUUUUAUUCUAUCAUAAAAUUUCUUAGAAUGGAUAUUUAUUAUUUUAUCACCUCUUUCAAAAUCUCUAUUCAAUAAUAUUUAUAAAUCAUCCAUAGUAUCACUAAAAUAAGAUUCUUCAAACAUCCUUGAUAUGUAUUCAUCUUCAUCAAUCAUUCUACAUUUUUUUAAUCCCUGUUCUACAUUCUUAACAUUUCUCUUAUCUAUCCUACUAAAAUUAUUUAUGUUUUUGAAUAAAAUAUAUCCGUCUCGUGAUAAUCCUACAAUAUCUUCAUCCUUUCUAUUAGGCAGGAAGCCUUCACUCUUUUUACCAUUGCAAUCUCACUUUAUAAUGGCGUCUAGUAAAAAUCCUUUGAGUCUUCAAGAUCUUCAAAUUCUUUAUGUAUCUUUGGAAAAGGAUGUUCUCUCAAACUAUCCUUAUUUCUUCCAUGAUUUGUACAAACUGUUAAAAAUUGCACUGCCCUCUUUCCAUCUUGACUUCUUAUCCUUACAUAAUCUGAUCCAUCAUCCAUAACCUUUGUCUCCAUUCAUGUAGUAGUAAUAUUUGGUUGUCCUAAUAUAAUAGGAUAUGUAGACAUAUCUUGCACAAAGAAAUUUUGUUCAUGAAUAACAUCUUCUAUUGUAACCUUGAUAUUUGGACAAGCUCCAUACAAAUUUCCUUUUGAAUUAUUUGUUGUUCUUAUCACCUACCCAAGCUCAAUAUCAAUAGGCCAAUUUCUCCUUUUAUAUAAUUCUGUUAACAUUAAAUAUAUUUCAGAACCAUGAUCAAUCAAUGCUACAAUUGGUUUUUCAAAAUCUCCCAAUUUUACUAAAGUUUCCGUAGUAGCCCUUGCCCAAUGACUCUGAGAAUAAUGACUAGAAGCUUGAAUCAUAUCUUCUUUUCCUAUAAAUUUGACUCGUGAAACAUUUCCAAUAAUUUGUAUUUUAAUUUCUUCAUCUUCAUUGCUUCCUAUUGCCUUUGUACCUUAUGCAUUUGAUGUCAUAGUAUUAUCAAUAGAUUGUCAUUUUUUUUUAUUGUAUCAAUAAUAACUUCAUAAAAUUCUUGUUUUACAAUUCCUAGAAUUUCACCAAUUGUAAAUUCAACAUUUCUACUUAAAAUCCACUCCUCCAAUACUAUCUUCAAAUCUGUAGCAGCUUCAAUAUCUAAUUGUAAUUUAUAAGCAGGAAUCUUUGCUUUUUCUUUCACAAUCUCCCUCUCCUAUGUAGAAAUAUUCUCUAUUGUCUCUUCAUGCAUAGGAUUCUUCUGUUGUCGAGUUUUAUCUCUCCUUGUGAUUCUUUUUGAUGGCCCUUUAUGAUUUUCGUCUUUCUUUCAUUUUUCUUCUAUUAAUGCUUCAUGUUGACUCCUUGCAAUAUGAGCAUGAACUGAUAAUCUAUCUACUUGAUCAUCUUAUCUAGUAAUUUACUGAAUAUUAUUGCCAACAUAUUUUAGAUCAUCUCUAGUAAAAUUUUUCUUUUUAGCAUAAUUCAUUGUACUUGACCAUAAAGAAAUAGAUUCUCUUGAAUACUCAAGAUUUAUACUUAAGAAUUUGCUUGGAUUUGCCUCCAUCCAAAAUAUUGAUGCUUCAUUUCUUGAAGUUGUAUGCACCUUGGAAGCAUCUCCUACAAACACCUUCAUUCUCCAUUUACCAAAAAUUUUCUCUAAUUUUUCUCUACUCUCUUUUAAGUAUAUCAUACCAUCUUUAAAAAAAACAACUCCUUUACGUAGUGCCUCUAAAAAAUCCUCACACUCCGUUCUUGAAUGAUCUAUGCUAUCACACCACAUGCACCUAUGCACCAUACCUUCUAUUGGUCUUAAAUUUUGUCUUGUUGAUAUUCUUGAUGAUUGAUCCAUCUCUUCAAGUUUUAUAAAUUUAUUUGCAAAUCUCUCAUCUUUUGUAUGAUUUCAUCAAUAUCCAUUUCUUCUCUCUUUGAUGUAGCCAUUGAAAGUUGAAUCGUAGAUGUAGGAUAGAUAGCAGGCAUUUUUCUUUUAGAUGUUUGCAAUGGUCUUUGAAUUUCCAUCCUAUCUUUUCUCCUUUCUCUUUUUGCAAGCACCUCAAUUGUCUCUUCUACUUUCUCCCAAUUUUUUGUCAAUCCUUCAACUUCUUCUUUAUCUUCCAAUAAAAUUUCCAACUUCUCUUGCAACUCUCUAUUAGCCACUUGAAGGAAAAGUUCCACUUUACUUGGAUCUAAUAAUUACCUCUCUUUCUUAGAUAAAUAAGAAUAUUAUUUUUCAAACUCCCUUAGUAACUCCGUUGCUAGUAGAUCCUUCUUAGGCCUUUCAAUCCAUUCAAAAAAUGACUUUUUUAUAACUCGGUCACUAUCUUCUAAAAAAUGUUCAUCCUUUAAUGCUUGAAAUAAUUUUUCCCAUGAACCUCCGGAAUGUCUUAUAAUGGACUUCACAUGAUUUCUUAUUUCUAUUGUAGUAGCUAAUUCAAAUAGCUGAACUAUCUCCUUCUCUGAAAGACACUUUAAUUCCAUUUCCUUUACGUAACACCUUAAAUAUUUUGUAAUAUCCUUCCCUUCAAAUUGAUCAAUCUUGUCUACAACAGCUUGUAAUGCUUUGUCUGCCAUGCCCUCUUUGCGAUCCUUAACCUGUCAUUGUUGCAUAAAUAAGGCUAAUGCCUCAAACAUGCUUGCACAGUUGGGAUCAAAAUAUAUACCUUGUCUUUCAAUUGAAGCUCUACUUCCAACUCCACUUGAAGCACCACCAAAAGCUCUUCCUUCCAUUCUCUUGCCUUCCUUCUCCAUAAUCCAAAUAGAUCAAAGAAACUCCAAAUACCUCCCAUCUCAAGUUUUUCACAUCGGGUUCACCAAAUAUGUUGUAUUACGUGAAGUCUUGCUUGAGAAUGCACCGAGCACCUGCCUAUGGAAGGUAAAAGAAAAUUACAACAAAAUGUCCUAAAAAUCCAAUAGGAUUAUAGAAAAUUUAUAAUUAAAUGUUAACAAUCAUAAUCAAAUAUUAAGCAAGCUCAAUUAAAUUUUAUUGAAGUUAUAAAAGAAACACAAGGAAAUCCUAAAGAAAAAUAAAAGAAUAUUAAAGAAAAUUUAGUCAAACCUUAACAAAAAUCUAAUAGAAUCUUAAAUUCUAACCAAACCCUAAUCUUAAUCUAACCUUAAUCAAAUCCUAGACAAACCCUAAACCCUAAACUAAAUCCUAAUCAAACCUUCAUCAAAUCUUAAACCUUAAAUCAAUUCCUAAUCAAAUCCUAAAUCAAAUCCUAAAUCCUAAUCCAAAUCCUAAACCAAAUCCUAAACCAAAUCCUAAAUCAAAUCCUAAACCAUACCCUAAUCCUAAAAAAUUCUAAACCCUAAAUCAAAUCCUAAUCAAACCCUAACCCUAAAUCCUUAUCAAAUCCUAACUCAAAUCAAAUCCUAAUCAUAAAUUUGAAAAUUAAAUAACUAAAGAUUGAACCGUUGAUUCUAAUUCAAAAUUUUCAUACUUCUUGGAGUUUAAGUUUGAAACUAGUACACAAAUUUUGAAGAAAAUUGCACUCACCAAUUAGUCGAUGAUCUCAAAAUUCCGCUCGGAUGUCGGCUGGUCUCUCCUUCUCCAAUCUUGAUGCCAACUUCCAGUGCUGAUAUCUUUCUUUUCUACCAUUCAAUUGUUUCCAAAUUUUAUUUUCACAUAGAAAAUCAAGUCUUCUACUGAUAAAACCAAAAAUCUCUCCAAUCCAAUUGGCAGAUUGCUAGAUAUCUAAGAAAACCUUACUGGUCCUCAAAAUCCUAAAUCCCGAGACCUUAGCCCACAAAAAUCUUCAUAUGUAUCGAUUUAGCCAUUCGAUUGACUUCAAAUCUCUUACACACAUUCACAAAAAGCAUACCAAUACGUCCCUAAAUUUUCACCUAUAGAAAUGCUACAAAAGACACGAAAUCCAAACAUUUGUAAACCGAUUUUAUUUCUCAAAGUUCUGAAUUCACAAAGAACAUCACUCGCUUUGAAAAUCCCUCAAAAAUCCAAUACUGAUCCAAAUGACACGAAAUCACCUCUCAAAAAUUCCUCCACAAGUCUUCUCUCUAAUUCAGCUCUCCGAUCUCCCAAAGAACCUUUAAAUCAUCGUCAAAGCACGGUUUUGUGCCUCAAGGUUUGAUUUCGAUCCAAGUUCAUAACCAGUCCUCUUUGGGUAUCAACUUUCGUCUUCUUGAGGUAAUUUUUACUAAUUUUCACUCCUAACUCCUCCCUACAUAUGCCUAUAUUCUUUAUUUUACUAAUCUACCUUGUUUUGUCUUAUUUAUGGCCUUAAAAAGUAAAUAGAAGCAUAAUUUGUAAAAAGGCAGCAUUAGUACUUUUAAAUUUUCUACCCUUUGACUAAUAUUUAUUUUUCCAAGAUAAUUUGCUACAAUAUUUUUGAAGUGAGAUUCUCAAAACAUGAUAUUUUCUUCAUCCUUUCAUUUGUUAGCUAUGUUACAUCACAACAGUAUGUAAAUCAAGUUUUGGAGUAGCAUUUGAGGUGUAUCAUUAACUACCAAUAAGAUGAUUGAAUAACUCUUUUUCCAUUGGCAAAGUUUGCUUAAAAUAAUAUAGUGCAUUCUUCUAUGCAACAAACAUCUUUUUUUAUUAAUUAUAGAUAUCAUUUAUAACUUGAUACUUUUAAUUUUUUAAAAUUUAAUAAUCUUGUAACAAAAUAUUUAAUAAAUUACUUAUUUAAGCUAUAUAUAAUAAUAAAGACACAAUUAAAAAAAAAAAAAAACUCAAGAACAACAAAAGAGCAAUGCAGGUGCUUAUUGCAAAGAACAACUUCAUUUCUACAUUGGAGAUAAGAUAUAGUUACUUUGUUCUAAUAUUAAAACUAUUUGUCUUUGUAUCAAGUUGGAUUAUUAUAGAUUUGGACCAUUUUCUAUUUAUAAAUAAGUCAAUCUAAUUGCUUAUUGAUUAUAUCCAUUGGAGUCAAUAAAAAUCCAUCUCAUAAUUCACAUAUCUUUUUUACAACCAUAUAAGAUAGAAAAUACUUUAAAAGUAAGACAAAUACUACUGUCUCUUAUAAAAGUGGAUAAUAAUCAAAAAUUUGAGGUGGACAAAGUCUUCAACUCAAGGCAGCAUUGACAUAGGUUAGAACAUCUUAUUUAUUGGCACAAAUAUGAUAUUAAUGAAUGCACAUGGAAGCCAGCAAAAAAUCUUACAAAUGCAGCAAAGAAGGUCAAAGCUUUUUAUCAACGACAUUAAUCAAAACCAAGAUGAAAGAUAAUAAACUUUUGCUAUAAAAAAAAUACAAUACAAAAAAUAUUGUAUUCUAUCUUCUAUCCUUAUUUGUAAUUUGUAUAUGAUUGUGGCGUUAAGAAGAUGGAGAAUCAAUAGCUAAUAGAUUCAACUUAAGAGUCAUCAUUUGUUGACUUAUCAAAUAAGAUAUUGUGAUUAUUACAGCCUUCAAGAUAAUGUGAUAAGAAUUAAGAUCUUCAAGAAUAAUAUGUUCUUUCUUAAAUAGAUGGUAAGAUACAACACGUUUGGCAUUAUGACAUGGGAAGAGAUUCUCAAUGUUUGGUGAUUUUAUUGGAGAUAUUCAUAACUCUUGUGAGAAUAAAUUUCCCCCUCAUCCCAAAUUACAAGAUGGCCUUAAUUAGAAGUUGCUUGUAAUUAGUGGUGAAAAGUAGAAGUAGCAAUAAACAAAAGAAGGACAACACCAAAUAAGUGAAACAAGUGCAAUCAAGCAAUUGUACACUAUAAAACUAGUCACAAUCUGUUCACUAGAUUUUUAUCCAAUGAAAGAUAAAAGUAAAAAGUAAAAAAUAAAUUUUUAGAUAGAUAAUUUUUUAUCUUUCCAAUGACAUAAAAAUCAUAUAAUUCCAAGUUAUUAUGAAUAAUUUAUGAUACAUUAAAGAUAGAAUGUAAGUAAUAGAAAAGUUAAGUGAAUAAUUUUUACCUCAAGGAUAACUUGCUUAAGAAAUUAGGAGUUCGAACCUCACCAAGGCUCACAAGUAGUGUAUAUUAAUUUCUAAAGAGUCCUUGAGGCCUUAGUCUUAUCUUCCUACCUAUACCCAAGGUGCUACAACCCAUAUGGAAAUUGAGCACCUCUCUUCUUACAAGGACUACACUAUCUUCUAGUCCUCUUAAUUUCUACUAGUAAAACUACUUUUUUUGUAUUUUUGACUCCACCAUGAUGUUUGAAAACACCCAAUUAGCCUAGAAACUUUGAAUAGUCCUUAAAUCUUGUUUCAUUUCUUCAUAGUGGCUCUCAAGGUGAUAAAACUCAAUUUUUUCAAGGUCUUAAAAUUUUCUCUAAAAUUCAUAAAAAAAUUAUAAAUAUAUUCUAAAUAUAUUCUAAAAGAUCUUGUAAUAUUUCUAUAAUACUAAUAUCUAUAAAAGGCUAUAUUUUUCUAUUAUUUUAAAUUUUUAUAGUAAUAAAAUUAAUUUAAAUCUACUAAAAAUUCUAUUUUCUACAUACAUAACUUAAAAGACAUGAAAUUCUUUUUCAUGCUUCUUUUAACUAUUAACUAAUCAUUGAUAGGAUUUUUGUAAAUAAUUCAUGUAGAUAUGAGGCCAAUAUAGAAAUUUGUCUCAAUUACUAAUCAUUAAUACUCAAUAAUGAGUGAAAAUACUAAACCAACUAAGAUAAUUGCCUUCAAGACUUAUUAAGACUCCAUUUUUAUAACUUUUCUUGUAAUAAGACUUUUAUACUUAUAAAUACUUCUAAAUUCUAAUAACUAAGUAAAUAGUCGAAAAAAAUAUCUAACCUUAGUAUUUAUUUCAUUAAAUGAAUCAAUACUAUAUUUUUAAUCAAUCCAUCAAUUAAGUUCUACUGGUGGGACUCACAACUCUUGAUGGUAUUACAAAUGUUUUGUUUAAAGGAAGUUACGAAGGUUUCAAUAAUGAUCAAAUCAUAGGAUGAUCUUUCCGCCUUGGAAUAAGACAUUACUGAUGGCCAAGAGGACCUAUCAAAUAUCUUUAAAGAAAACAAAGAUCAGAGUAUGUAGCAAAUAUAAUUUGCUGCGUCUUAGACUUUCUUGACAUGUGAUCUUUUGCUCCUCGUGGAAUUCAUUUCUAAAAAGGGAGAUAAUAUCAUGGAUUUAUAUCUACUAUAAUUAUUACUUAGAUAACAUGAAUAGGUAGAAAUAAGUAAUAGAAGAUUAAUUUUAUAUUACCUUCUAGAAAAGCUUCCUAGAAGUUUUGUAGAUGUUGUUCUGACUUUACAUAUAUUUGUAGUUGAUUGAUAGGUUAGAAACUUGGUCAACAAGCUAACUACAUGCCACAUCUAUUGAUAGCUUAUGGAAUAAGCUAACUAUGAGGUAUCCAUAUAAAAAACUUGUUUUGUAUGUUAAGAUACUUGUCAUGCAAAGUCAAUACGUUUUUGGAGGUCCUAUAGAAUGUCACCACAUAGAUCUUAGGUAGAUAGUAUAUAUAGAGGUAAGAGUAAAGCCUUCUUCAUUCUUAUCAACUCUUUUUUAUUUUUAAUUUAGUUUCAAUAAUCUCUAAUUUCUUUGGCUUUUGAAAAUUUUUAGUUUAAAUAAUUAUUUAAAAUGCUUAUAUUUUUAAGAUAUUAAAAGAAAGAAUAGAAAUAUUUCUAUUAAAAAAUAAAAUAUAUAACAAAAAAAAUAUUAAUAUUUUUAAUAUACCAUCAAUAAGUAUAAAAAGAAUUAGAUAAUUUUAUACUUACUAUUGAUAUUUUUAUAUAAUAUCGUAAUAAAUUUAUUUAUUUAUUUAAAAUCAAUUUACUUUAAUAACUAAUAGUAAUCAUUAAAAAUAUAUAUAUUUAUGAAUCUUUAAAAAUUAAUAUUUUCAUAUUAAAUAAAAUAAAAAUAAAUUUAUUUUAUUUUUUAAUAACAAAAAUACAUCUAUAAAUAUAAAUUAAAAAAUUAUUAUAGAUAAUGCUAUUAAAAAACUUAAAAUUAAGGAUAAAAAAGUUUAAAUUUUCCUAAUAUUAUGAUUAAUUGAUCUUGUGAUAAGUUUAAUAAUUAAAAUCUUAGAUUUCUAAUCAAUAAAAUAUAUAUUAAUUUAAUUACACAUUAUAUAUAACUACUAAAAUUUUAAAAUAUAUCUCUUCUAUAUAUCUCUUUUAUUAAAAUUUGUAAUAUAAUCAAUCUGAAAAAGUAUAAAAUAGCUUAUAAAUAUUAUAUUAGUAUAAAAAUACUUAAAAUAGUAUAUUCUAUUGAUUUAUUAUAUAAUUUGACUAGUCUUUGUAGAAUUUGUUUAUAGAAGUAAUUAUAAUAUAAUAAUUAAUUAUAAUAUUUAAAUAAUUAUAAAUAAAUAAAUAUUUAUUAAUUAAGUAAUGUAUAGUUCAAGAAAUAUUAAAAACCUUCAUAGAUACAGAUUUGUUGUAUAGAUUUUUUUGAUUAUGCUAUGUAGUUAUAUAAAUUUUUUUAUGGGUAGUUUUCUUUUUAAAUUUUUAUUAUAAAAAUUUCCUAAAGUUUAGAUUGACGAUGAGCCUUGUGCUUAUUAUAAAUAUUUUAAUGAUUUUUUAUUAUGUUAUAUAGAAAUAAAAUUGAAGCUUCUACUAUAAAUUAAUCUUAACUCUUUUUUAUCCAUCUAAAAAUAAAAUAAAAAUAAAAUCUAUAUCAUUAAAUUAUUCUUAUUGAUCAAAUAUUAUCAAUAGGAAUAUUUUAUUUGCACAUUAAUGUAUUCUUAUUAUUAUUACUUUUACUAAUUAUUAUAUUUCAAUUUUUAAAAAUUAAAUUUUUUAUUUGAUAAAUUUAUAAAUAUACAUUUGUAUUAAGGUACACAUUAUUCCAAUUUUCUCUUCAAAUCUCUUACAAUUACAACAUAUUGAAUUAUAAUUAGAAUCUUUACCAUUAAAAAUUCAGAAUAAUAGUUAUGAAUAUGACAUGUGAUUUAAAAUAAUAUCAAUAGAAGAUUAUUAUAAAAUUUAAAUCCAAAUAUAUAUUUUUAAUGCAUUAAUUCCUAAAUAAACAAGUACUUUUCUAAUAUAAUUACCAAAAAUGAAGACAAACAUUUAUUGUCUAUAUAUUUAUGUAGUAUGUUUGUACGUGUUUUUGGUAAUUUCAGAUCUUUUAUGUACACUGGAUAGAAUCUCCGACCAAAAUGAAAGUUAAAACGAUGUAUUUGUAACGAUGUAGCCUCCAAUACUGAAAUAAAAACAGCGAAGCACAGCACCGUCUUUGAGAUUUUUCCCAAACGAAUCGAGGAAGAGUCGAAUGGAUGUCUCAAAAUGUCAUUCAUCCAAUAUAGUGAAUGAAGGCGGGACCUCCGGAGCAUUCCAAAUGGAACGCAAUGCGGGGUCGAACAACCUCGUUCGUGGAGUUUAAAAAAGGAAUGGGCCCGGGCGGCGUGCCCGGUGUCCGUGGGGUCCCAACCGCCCCUGCCCCAACCCACCCCCACUACCGUGAGCGUGCGCCAUGUGGAGGACAGGGGAGGCUGUAUGACUCACCAAACCGACCUGGGAACGGGUGGUAGCUCCCCCCACCUCCUGGCCUCGACUUCGCCCCUACCCGGCCCGUCCUCAAGUCAAAAUAUAAUUUGUGUCGUGUUCGGGGAGUUGAUCACAACUAUUUGGUGAUUAAACAUCCUAAAAAACUACCACCAAUAAUAAAUCGAAACUUCAAAGAAAUCCAGUUGUCUUUAAAUUAGAAAUAGGAUCGUUUUAUUUAUUCUAACAUGAAAUACUAUUUUGUGACGGAUAUCUAUGCAUGAGAAUUAAAAAUUUUAAUUGCUAAAUACAUCCACACAGUUUUCAGAAAUAAUAAACAAGACAUUGAUGUGACACAUGUAUUUCAAUAGGCCGAGAUAAGAGUUAGAUCUUAUGAAAUGUUGUGGUUUUAUAAUAUAACAUUGAUCUGCUGUGAAAGGAAGGAAUGAAGGUAUGUUGUACUGGAAUCAAUAGAACAUUAUAGACAAUUUUUUCUACAAGAAAAUAAUAUGCCUUUCUAUCAUUAUGAUUGGAUUGGUUGGUCAUGGUACUUGUAUUCUUUUUACUUUAUUAAAUUUUACUUUAAUCCUACUAAUCGCUCUAUGCGGCACAUAAUCUGUCAUGCUCAAAGUUGGCUUUGGUGACUUUAUUUGUAAGUGGGUUCAACCUGGUGAACAGUUAUGGCAAAAGCAUUGUCCACCAGAGUCUCAACCUCUUUUCUGAAUGUCUUUCAAUUCCACACUGAAAAAAAAGUUUUUUUUAAAAAGAAAAUCACCAUAUGCAUAUACCUACAUGACAGUUUUUAUUUAUUUAUUUAUUAUUAUUAUUAUUGGAAUCCAACAACAUAUUCGGAAAGGAAUAACAAAUUAUGAUUGAGAAAGAUUAGAGACACGAACCAACCUUUGUUGUCACAUAGAAGUGUUUUAAAGCCUCUGUUUCUCAAGGUGGGUACUACACCAAACAUCUUAAUUCAAAGCCUUUAAAGGGCUUGAUUCAGGUCACACACUUGUACCAAUGCAGGCUGACAAUAUCAACUUUUAUUUACCCCAAUUUGAUCUAAAAUCCCUCAGUUAAGUGAAGAGUCCACUUACCCGAGUCACUAUGAGCUAACAAUUCCCUUAACUACACAGCAUCGUCGAAGACCCGCAUUGCGUCCCACGCCAUCAUCGGAAGAGGUUUCUACGAAGUCCUUCUCAAAGUUGUGCGCGUUACCGUGCAAAGUAUCGUUCACAUUGCUCCUGACCCGAAGGUGGUAAGAAGGCAUCGAAGGUCUGGUCUAAGGUUGAAUUCGUACCAAUAAAUUCUCGGAAAUAGUGGUUCCGAGAAGUGGGGAUCACGCGUCCAUUGCGGGACCUGUAUUUACGGGAACCGCCGACCACAUGCAGCGAUUCAUGAGGCUGCAGAAUGCAUUCGGGUAUGCAGUAUGCUGGAUUUUGAAAAUUAGCGACAUAGGGUCAGCGAAGUGUGGUAGGGUUUUGCUGUAAUUACUUUCGCAUCGCAACCACAAGAGGAAUCGCAUUCGUGAAUGACAAUUCGUAUGUUGGUGAAUGCAAUGGUGGCGAGGAGCGGCAGCCUGAGGACAGCGCCUGACAUUGGUGUAGAGAGUACUCAGCAUUGCUUAGGUGUGGUGAAGGAGAAAAAUCGAUUUGCAUUGAAGGAGGGUGUGAAUGUUGCAGUCCCCAAGUACAGAGGUGUUCGUCAACGCCAAUGGGGGAAGUGGGUUUCCGAGAUUAGAGAACCGAAGAAGAGGUCGCGGAUCUGGUUGGGGUCUUUUCCUACAGCCGAGAUGGCAGCCCGAGCUUACGACGCAGCCGUGGUGUGCUUGAGAGGGCCAACGGCGUCAUUGAAUUUUCCUGACUCGCCUCCUCAUGGGCUUCCCGCAUGUCAGUCGCCACACGACGUGCAAAUCGCAGCAGCUGCGGCUGCUGCGGAGCUAUCCUCGCCGUUGUCUCUGCCAAAUCCGCCUGUUGCACUACCCCUAGACGUGCAAUUGCAUAUCAUGGAAUCAGAAACGAAGCCGUCCCCUGAGCUGCAGCGCAUCGAAACGAAGAAAGCUGACCAGCUCGGCUCGGACGAAAUUGUAUCGCGUUCGUCUGCAUCGGAUUGGUUCACCCCCUUUGAAGAUCCAUGGUGUAGUAACCAUGCAUUAGAGGACAUGGGUACGUCAUUCACAGAUUUUCCAUACUUAGAAGAUAUUAUAUAGCACAACUUCACUAUUCAGGAGAUGGACUAAACUCAAUCUCCAGCACAUAGAGCCUCGACUCGGUUUCAGAUUGUCCGGUUCACGUCCCUCGACAAAUCCGGUGUACUUGACGUAGACAUUGUGAGCAAGGUUCACAGUGCAUUACGGCGUAGAUCUAGUAUCAUAAACCCCAAAAUGUAAAGACAGGGCCACAUUAUGUAAACCCGAGGGUGAUAGCGAAGUUGUGCUGUGUGGCGACCGAAAUCGGGCGAUGAAAUCGCACACCCUACUCCUGCAUGUACAUCGGACUCUUCCAGCAACUUGCUCUCUCGCUACCGUACUCGCAUCCCUCGAAUCCACGAGCUGGAUGCCUUGCCUUCACCGCAAGAAUACUCGUAAAUCCACUGUGGACACUGUAUUAUAGCACUGAUCGGGUCCUUUCAUGUUGUAGAAAUUGUGCAUGGUUCUCGGUUGAUAGCAAGCUCAAGAGCCUCCAGCAUCUUGGACGAAACAUGUCCUCGGCCGACGAAAUCUGGUCUUCGUCAUCCAGGUGACCGGAGAUAGAGUGAAGAAGGGCACCGAACGGCUGUCGUCCGUUUUCUGUGCGGUUUUCGGUUCAUGUAUAAAUAGUGUUCAUCCUCGUUGUUUGUGAUCCAUUCUUUGGAAUGUCGUUGUCCCCUCCUGUAUUUUAUGGUCAAGGUCACUGUUGUCCAGUCCGUGAGGGUCGUUUUGGACAUUUCAUUGGGGUACAUAAAGUAUUAAGUUCCAUUUGGCAGGCAGUAUUAUAUCAUAAUAAAAGUUCGUACGUGCGUGCUUUUUAUACCGGACAAAUGUAAAAUCUGUACCAUGUGCACAGAAAAAGUAUUCAAGAUAGUUAAUGUCAUUUGUUUAUUUGUUUGUUAUUUUGAUUUUUUAUGAAACAUUAGGAGGUAGACACUUUUAGUAUUAAAUUGGGUCCAAUAAAUACUUGAGAUGUGUUUACUUUGGAUGGUAGGUCAAAGUUUCACUUUAUAUUGUGCCCUUCCUCUUGUAAACAUAUUUGUUUUUCUCCAAUCCAAGUAUUUCUCAAAAUUUUAAAGUACCUCAGUUCAUUUUGAAGUUUUGAAUGGAUUAGAAUUCGGAUUAUUCUCCAAUAAGUUCUUUUAUAGUCUGUCAACUUAAAUCAAAAUAUUUAUAAUUAUUUUUUAAAUUUUAUUUGAUUAGAUUUAUUUGAUUAAAAUUUAUUUGAUUAGAUUUAUAAAUGACAUUGUUAUAUUACUUCAAAAUAGUCCAAAAACAUGUUUCUAAAAUUAGAAUACAAACUAAUUCCAUAUUAUUGAAAUUACCAAAGUAUUUUAAAAAAAUAUUUAUUUGAAAAAAGGCAAAAUAUAAAAAUCAUUUAGAAUAGUUAAGACUACAAAAGAAUAAAAAUAUAGCAAAAUUGAUUGCAAUUUGAUAUAUAAAUAUAUAUAUAUAAAUAUAUAUAUAUAUAUAUAUAUAUAUCUAUAUAUAUAUAUAUAUAUAUAUAUUCUUAGACUUAAGCUAAUAAGUUAAUUAAACAUAUAAGAUUGAUAUAACCUAUAAAAGAUCAAAACAAUAAUAUUUUAAUUUUUUAUAUUUAAUCAAAUAUCAAAUCAUUGCUUAUUAACAAGAACAAGAACUUGAAGAAUGAAAAUAACCAAGUGAGACAUUUCUCAAAGAAAAAUGACAAAUAAAAGAAUAAGUUAAUAUAUAUAGUUAAAAAAAAUAGAAUAAUUAUUGCUAAAGACUAAAGGACUAGAAAAUCUUGAAACUAGAAAAGGAGCAAAAAAAAGAGUUGAUAAGAGUAAAAAAGGCCUCACACUUGCCUUCAUAUAUACUAACUAACUUUGAGCUAUGUAGCAACAUUCUAUAAGAUCUUCAACACAUGUCCAACUUGUAGGGCACAUGACUAAUUCGUAAUGUAAGUUUCUUAUAUAAAUGUCACAUGUCCAAUUUGUAUCAUAAGUAGCCAACAUAUGUGACACAUGGCCAACUUUUCAACCUACAAAUCAUCUACAUAUAACUAAAGAUAAAUCCACAUCUAUAAGACUUCUAACAAGCUUUUCCAUAGGAUAUUAUCAAAUUUAUAUCUAAUUACUUCUAUUAAUUUAGAUUAUCUGGAUAAUUAUAAAUUGAUCAUUUAACAUAUAUAUAUAUAUAUAUAUAUAUAUAUUAUAAUAAAUUAUUUUUAAUUUUUUUUAUCAAAAAAAAUUAUUUUUAAUAUCAUAUAACUAUUACAAAAUAUACAUAUAUAUAUAUAUAUAUAUAUAUAUAUAUAAAAUACCAAGUAUAAGAUAAAUAUAAGUAGAUUUAAUAUUAUAUUAUGGCAAAGCUUCUUAGAAGCUUCAUAGAUGCAUAUUUCACUUUAUACAUGUUUAUAGUUAAUUGAUAUGUUAGAAACUUGGCCAACAAGUUAGCCAUGCAUUGUACAUGUGGAUAGCUUGUGGUAUAAGCUAAUAAUGUGGCACACAUAUAGGAAACUUACCUUGCAAGUUAAGACACAUAAUCACAAAUUAGACACUUGUUGGAGGUCCUAUAGAAUGUUGCCACAUAACUCUUAGUUAGAUAGUAUAUAUAGAGGUAAAAAUGAAGUCUUUUCCACUCUUAUCAAUACAUUUUUAGUCUUUAAUCUUGUUUCAAGACUUUCUAGUCUUCUUGUAUUUGACAAUAGCCAUUUUAAUCUAAUAUUAUACCAAUUUGAAUGAUUUUUUAGUUUUUUUAAGUGACACAAGAAUUUAUUGAUUUUUUAAUUUUUUAAAAUUCAUGUUCUUGAUAAUGAAUUAAUUAUUUCAAAAUCUAAGAAUUAAUCUCAUUUUUCUAUUUAUUUAUAUUAGCUAUUAUAUAUUAAUGAUAUAUUCACAAAUGAUGUUAAAUUUUUGAUUUAAAUAGAUUAGAAAUCUUUCUUAAUUUUUACUUUUUUCUUAUAUCAAAUUAAUUGAUUGAUAUUCUAAUUAAAUCAAAUAAUUUUAUCAUAUUAAUUAUAAAGAUAUUUUUUAGAUAAGUUGCCACAUCUUUUUUUUUUAAUUUUUUAAUUUUUUAUAUUGAUAUGCCAAAAUACAUUAUAUUUCUAUAGGAUCUAAAUUUGUUUUCUUAUAAUAGCAUAUACAAUAAUAAAGUUUGAUGUCCUAUUAUAUAUUAUUUUGUUUGAAAAUAUAUCAUGCACUUGGUUGUGGAAGGUAAACUUGUACUUUGUAGUUAAUUAAAAAUAUAUUAAAAAAAAAUGUUAAUUUACUUAAAGGUCAACCAUUAACCUUUUGUCAUGAAUAUAAUUCAUAUUAACAAUUAUCUAAAUAAGGAGAAUUAAGUAGAAGUAAACAGAAGCAUGUAAAUUAUAUAAUAUAUUAUAUAAAGGCUUUAUAAAUUUGGAUUUUAUUUUAUAUAUGUUUAUAAGUGAUUGAUAGGUUGAAAACUUUGUCAAGAAGUUGGCAAUAUGUUGCACAUGUUGGCCACUUGUAGUAUAAGUUGGCCAUAUAGUGCACAUAUAGAAAACUUGCUUUGCAAGUUAGAUACAUAUUUUUUGAAUUUAACAUGUAUUAUAAGUUCCAUAGAACAUCACUAUGUAGCUUUUAUUUAAAUUGUCUAUAUAAAUGCAAUAGUAAGGCCUUUCUCACUCUUAUCAAUUUAUUACUUUCUUCUAGUCUAAUUUCAAGAGUCUAUAGCUCUUAUAUCUUUAAUAAUAACUAUUCCAAUCUCUUCUUAAAUACAUCUUUUCUCCAUCUUCUUUUGAGAUACAUCUCACAUAUUUUUAUUCUUUGAUUUCUUAUCCUUAAAACCUUCUCUAAUUGUGUUUUUAAUCUAUAAGCAAUAAUAGUUAAUUAUUGCAUGGUUUAUUUUCUUUCAAAAUUUGUAAGAAUGUUGUAAAUUAAUUUCAUUAUUAGCUUAAAAAAUAUUAUUUCAAUUCAAUUGGAAGAUUAUUCAAAAUCAUUGAAAUCUCUUCAAAUCCUUGAAAUCUAUUAUUUGAGAUCUUAACUCAAGUGAAUUUUAAUAGUCUUUGAUCAUACUAUUUGAUUAAUCUUAAAUUCAUAAAAUACAUUCAAAACAAAUAGAUUUACAAUCUCACAAAUUUAUACUUGUCAAUUUGCUAAAAUGUCCACAAAAGUCUACAAAAUAUAUACUUUUGUUUAUUUUAAAAAACCAUGAGUCACUAAAAUUACCUUAUCUUUGUAAAUCUUUUAUAAAAUCAAUAUCUUUUUAAAUUAUCCAAAAUUAACACUUAGACAUAUCCAAUAAAAAUUUAUCCUUAAUAUUGUUUUUCAAUCAACAAAAAAAACCUUAUUAAUUGCUGUAGGUGUAUGAUUUUAUGCCUUAGGAUUUGAUAUCAUCAUUAAUUCACAACCAAUUUUCUUUAGAUGUUAGCAUUUAUUUUUUCAAGUUAUUUUUUUUAUUAAAUGCUAUUUUUUAUUUCCACUUAAAAAAUAUAAUAAUAUUAUUUUUUAUAAUUCAUUAUUUUAUUUUAUUUUUAGUCUUGUAAAUUAAAAAAUAUCAUUUUUAUAGAAUUAAAAUAUUCAUAAUAAUUUUUUUUUAUUAUCUUCAUAUCUUUUAUCCAUAUUUUUUUAAAGUAAUUUUUUACUAUGUUUUUUAAUAAAUUUCUUUUAUAAUAUAUAUAUAUAUAUAUAUAUAUAUAUAUAUUAUCUAAUAGCCAUGUUAUAAUAUAAUAUCAAAUAAAAAUUACAUGAAGCUCAAAUAAAGAUCAUCUAAAACGAUAAUAAAGAAUAGAUAAUAAAUAGAUAAAAAUUGGAUGAAAAUAUGAUAAAGAUUAGAUGAAGAUCAAAAGAAGAUUAGAAAAAGAUCACGUUAUAGUUGGAUGAAGUCUAGAUACUCUCAAAUGCUCUACUUUGUCAAUAAUGAUGAUUUCCACAUGUUCUUUUUAAGCCAAGGACAAAAAAAAUUACAAGUACCACCAUCACUACCUCUUGUGUCAAUGAAAAAAAAUCAUGAGCAUUAAUACAAUCUUCGUUUAUAUCAAUGACAAACAAAAAUAACAUAAGAAACAUCAUGGUUGCUUUUUAUACUAGUGAAAAAUAAAAAUAUCAUAAGUAAUGUUAUAGUUGAAUCACAUGGUUUUAGUUGUUUUAGCUUCAACAAAAAAAUACAAUUAUUUUUUAGAGAGCCUACAAAACUAUUGCAACUUUAAAAAUCUAUUGUAUUAUCAACAAGUUUCAAUACAUCAGUCUAUGACACAAAUUGUUAACUAGAUGAAUAAAAAACAGUUGUGAUCUAAAUGACAUGUCAUAGAAAAAAAUAAGAUAGUCUUUAUUUAAAGCACACCUUAAGUCUUUAGCAAUUGAUUUAUAAUUAUGAUUUUUUUUUCUUGCUUUAUUCUUGUGGCUUUUUAUAUUCAAACAAGCUUCAUUAUUUAAUACAAAAAAAUCAAAGAAUAGUCAAGACAAAUUCUUUCUUUAUACUUUACAAGGCUGUAAAAACAAUCUUAUUACUUCAUUCAAGUUGCUAGUCUCUAUACAAAAGCUAGACAAUGUCUAGUGGAUUAUUAAAUUAGUUAGUAACUUUUACCUAUUUAAAUUAAAUAAGAUCAUUCAUCAUAAUACUAACAAAAAUAUAUUUCUUUUUAAUCAUAACAACCUACUUACAACAACCUUAUAUGCUAAUUUGUAAGAAAAUUCUUCAUUUUACAAAUUUCUAUAAGUUGCUUUUCAAUUUAACAUCCUUCUUGCAUAUUGUAUAGUUGCAUUUUUAAUUAUCUUCUAAAACACAAUCUAAUUCUUUUAAUUGCAACCCUUCUACUUUUUUGUACUUCAAACUUAUGUAAAUCUAAUUUUUUCUUUGUAGUAAUCUAAUUCUUACAUGCUCACACUAUAGCUAAAGUGCUAUAACCCAUAUAUGACAUGUGCACCUCUUUUCAUGUAAGUACUAUAAUAGUAAGAAGUUUUCAUAUCUUAUAGAAUUUUUAUUUAUUUAUUUAUUUAUUUUUUGAAAUUUUAACUACACUAUGGUGUUUUAAAAAAUUUAAUUUUUUCAGUAAUAUUUUAUCUACUACCUAAUAAUUAUAGGUUACUAAUAAAUAAUACAUAUAAAAAUAUAUUUUUGUAUAUAUUAGCCAUAAUAAUUAAACACCAAAUUUUAUAAUUAAAAUAAUCUUUUUAAAUCAACUAAGAUAAUUAUAUUUAAGACUUAUUAAGACUGUAAUUUAAUAAAGUUUUACUUAACAAAAUUUUUAUUUAACAAAUUUUUUAUAAAUUUUAUAUUUUCUAAGUCCUAAUAUAUAUUUAGAUAAUAAAAUAGUCUCUUAAAUCUUAAAAUUUAUAUAUUAAAAUAAUUUUAUAUUUUAUUUUUAAUAGAUCCACUCUUAUCUAAAAAUUCUUCUAAAAACUUAUCUUUUAGAAAAUAUGAGAACUAACUAGUAUUGUAGUAGUUAUAGAGAAAAAGAUAUACAUGUCAUAUAUAGAUUGUAGCACCGUAGUUGUAGGUGCAAAGAUAAGUCUAAGGCCUCAUGUUCUUUCUAAGCAAUCCUUUACACCACCUUGUGAGUUUUAGUGAGGCUCAAAUCUUUAAUCCCUCAAGCAAUUUAGCCUUGAAAUAAAACCAUUUAUUUAAUUUUUAUCUUUUUUUUAUAUAAAAAUUUAUUUAACAUAUUUAUAAUAACUUAGAUAUAUAUAGAUAUAUAUAUAUAUAUAUAUAUAUAUAUAUAUAUAUAUAUAUCUUAUAUCAUUAAAAAUCUCUGAAUAUUAUCUUUAUUAAUAUUUUAUUUUAUCUUUUAUUUUAUUUAAUAUUAUAUAAAAUUACAAUGAACAAAAUGUGACUAGUUUUUGGAGUGUGCAAUUGUCUAAUUGCAUUUCUUUUACUUGUUAUGUUCUUAUUCUUAUUUAUUUCUUCUUAAUUUUAUCACCUACUUCACACUAUUCAUUACAAGAAGCUCUUAAUUGAGGCCAUCUUGUAAAUUGGAUUGAAAGAUAAAUUUUACCUUCUCAAUGGCUACUUAAAAAUUCUUUGGUAAUAAUCUUCUCAUUGAGACCUUGACUCAUUAAAAUAAACAUCCAACAUCUUAUAAAAUCAAAAUUUAAUUAUAUUUAUAAAAUUUAAAUAUAUUUUUAGCACAAAAUAGGAGUCAUAUAAUAUUUAGACAUAUUCUUAGAGAGAAGGAAUUUAGAGGAAAUAUUAGUCUUAAAUUUAGUAAUUGAGAAGAGUAUAUAUUUAUUUCUAUGAUUACCAUGCCUUGGAAGAAAAGUGUUUUUUUGGUACAUCCAAAAAAUUAAAAAAUAUUUAUAUAUAAAAAAAAAUUAGAAAUUUCUGGAUAAAGCUUUGAGAAUUUAGAUUUAGAAUUUGUAAUUUAGAAGUUUGAAAUUUAUGAUUUAGAAUAUAAAAAAUCAGAACAUAUACUAGUUAAAAUGAAUAAUUAAGAAGUUUCAAAAGAUAGGAUCUAAAGAUUAAAAUAGAUGGGACAACCUAAGAUAUUGUAUGAUCUAACAUUUUACAAUUCAUAGAAAAGAAAAUGCCUUCACUUGCUUUUAUUCCAAAAAUCCAAAAAAUAUAAAUUUUUAGAUUAGUAAAAAUGGAUCAAGUAGAAUCAUGAAUCUAUUGCUUGCUAUUACUGUCAUAUUUAAACAUCUUCUUAUUAAUAUAAUAAAAAUCAAAAUUGCUAUAAUAAAAAAAUUAAUUAUGUUAACUUUAAAAUCUAUUGGAAUGCCAAACUAGAAGCAUUAUUUUUCUUUUAAAAAAUGUGUUUGGUAGUAAUUUUACAUUACUAAUUUGCAUUUUUUCUAUAUAUAUAUAUAUAUAUAUAUAUAUAUCUAUCUUACUACUUUGUGUAUAAAAUAAUUUAAUAAUUAAAUAAUUAGAUUCUCAAAGUCAAAUUUGAUAUUUUUUAAAUUUUAGUAAUUCAUAUUUGAUAAUUUAAAUGACAAAAAAUCUAUAAUAAUUGGAAUUAUUUCUUAUUUUAGACUGUUUAUUAUAUUCUUCUAUAAAAGUGGAUAUAAGUAAUAGAAAUAAGUUUAAACUUCAAUUAAGUAUAUAAUCUAUUUGAUUAAUUUUUUUAUUUGGUUUUAAUAUAUAGUAUGUUUAGAAACAAGGUAUGGAGUAUGCUUUAGUUAUUACAUCUAAAAAAGCUUUCAAUACCAAUUAUAUAUCUUUUUAUUUUAAGAUUUAGAAUUUAGAAUUUAGAAUUACAAGUAUCAUAGGACAUAUAUUUAGAGUUCAAAACUUUAAGUUUAAGUUUUUAGAAUCAUAUUAGUAUAUCCAGUAUUUAUACUUCUUUGUUUUUAAUUGAAAAAAAGCUUAGUUAUUAAUUAUUUUUUAAUUUUUUAUAACCAAUAAUUUUGGUGAAAUAAAUAAUAUAUUCUACAAGUUUUUAGACUUAUAAGUUUAUACACUUUAACUAUAUAUUUAUAAAUUUAAUUUUAUAAUGAGAAAGAUUUUUAUAAGUGUUAAGUCAUUUAUCUUUUGUAUAUUGGAUUCAUAAUAUGUAAUUGUAUAAUCAAAUUAUAUUAGAAGUUUUUCGAUAUGUGGAUAUUAAGGAUUUUAUUUAUUUGGUUAUUAAGUUUAGAGUUUUGUUAGCCCAAGUAGGUGAGUAGGAUAGUCCAAGACAUGACAUAAUCUAAUAAUUUAGAAGAUUUGUAAAAUCGAAAAUCUUAUAAAAACUUAAACCAUUAGAAUUUAACAUGGUGUUCUUUAUUAUUAUUAUUAUUAUUAUUAUUAUUCUUCCAAGGUUGAAAAGAUCAACUUUUUCUUUGAUUAUUAACCUUUAGUAAAAAAAACUAUGAUAUUUUUAUUUUUUAUAGACUUAAAAUUUCUUGACUCUGAAAAAAUAUUGAAUUUAAACAAGAUUGUUCUAAACUUAAUAUAUAUAUAUAUAUAUAUAUAUAUAUAUAUCACAGCUAUAUUUACAUAAGAAUUAUUAUUUUAUGAUUAAAUAUAAUAUAGAAGGAUUAUAAGAACUAAUCCUAUAAUAAAAAAAACUAAUAAAAAAUGAUCUAAUGGUACCAAACUAUGAAAGAAAUUACAUUAUGAUAAUGAUCAUUCUAAAUAUAAAUAAGUAAAUAUAACUAUAAAACAAAGUAUAUUGGAAUCUGCAAUUCUAGAAAUAAGUUAACUAAACAAAUCAAGACAAAAGGAGUGGAGGUGCAAACUAGUAAGCAUAGAAUUUUACAAAGGUCCAAAGAGUAUGAAAACAAUUAUGGAAGAGUUAAUUUGAUAUAUAUAUAUAUAUAUAUAUAUAUAUAUAUAUUAAUUAGGCCUAUAAACAACGAAUCUACAACAUAAUAAACUUUAAAAUAAAAAUAAAUUUGGAGCUAAUUAGAUCUUUUUAUGCUUAUCUUUUAAUUUUUUUUAUUUUUAUUUCUUUCUAAAUAAGCCAUUCAUCCAUCAAAUCCUAUAAAGUUUGUAUGAAAUAUGCGAUAUUAGUGUGAUUAGACAAAUACUAAAAUUCAAUAUUUUUUUAAUAUAUUAUUAAUUUUAAUCUAUGUAGAUUUUUAUUUUUUUAUUUUUAUUUUUUUAUAAAGCUUCAAUAUUUUCUCAAAAAAUCUUGAGAAAAAAAUUGUUUUGAGGUGAAUAUAAUCAAAUGAGGGUGUUCUCCUUCCUAAAGUGUUUAGAGCUAUUUUAAAUUUCUAUUCUUCUUUUAAGGUUGAUUGUACUAAUACUUAUGUCAUCUUGACAUCUUAAAAUUACUAUGAAAUUUUUUUUUUAGUAAUAUUGGACUAAUGCAUGCUAUAACUAUAUAAGACUCUAUAUUUUAGAUUUUUCUACUCUAAAAAACCUCUUAACAUUAAUUAUCUUAUAUAUAUAUAUAUAUAUAUAUAUAUAUAUAUAUAUCUAUCUAUAUCAAUAAUUGUAGAUAAUUCAAAUAUUAUUGUUUUGUAUAUACCAUGUAUAUUUUUCCAGCUUUUGUAUUGUCUACUAUACCUCUUAAGACUUACACUUGUGUUUGCAACACAACUUAUUCUAUGUAUGAUAUGCCAAAAUCAUUCAAUAAUAAAAAAAAUAUUAUCCAAAAUUUUGCUUAUUCUUGUCUACGACUUGAUCUAAAGUAACUAUAAUAAAAAAACAUAAUACUACUUCAAAUCGAAAUCUUAUUCUAUAUUUAUAUCUAAAGUAGAUAAUGUGUACUAGUUUAAGACUUUAUUCCAAAUUUUAAGCAUAAAUAUAUAAACUAUAAGAAUUAAUUAGAUUUUUGUUAUAAUUUUUUUCUAUUUCAAACCUCACUCUAAUUGCAUUUAUUGGAAGAUAUAGACUUAAUUACAAAUUUUAUAAGAUUACUAAUAACAUAUCUAAGUUGAAAUUAAAAUACCUAAUUCUAAAGAUAAGAUCCAACGACAAAAAAAACUCUGUUAAGUUUUUUGGAAGUACCUUCAUAAGCUAUUUUAACAUAUUCAUAUAUGUGUUGCAGGAUUAAUCCCAUCCACUCUCAUGUUUACUAUAUAUGAUAGAAAAAUCAAAGAUAAUCUGUUAUUUUUUCUUUAUUAGUAUUACAUGUUUAUGUGUUACAGCAAUACAUAUAAUGCAUUAAAAAUAUCAUAACAAAUUUAUUGGACACACAAUCUCCACUUAACUUCUACGUUGCUUUUCAAUUAUGUGUCAACAGCAAUGAAUCCAAUUAGAAAAAAAACUUAGAUUCUGGCCAGGAAAUUCAAUGUUAAAUGACUCUUCCAAGGUGAACAACAGUAAUUAAAGUUUGAAACAGCGUGCAUUCAGCUCCACCAACGCUUGUUCUAAACUCCAAUUUUUGUAGCAUCCAUAUUAUUUAAUCAAUUGCUGCGGCUACAAACACGGAUACAAUGAAGAUCUGCAUGUAUCACGAGUACUCUUUGGGAUGUAAGAUGCUCAACUACUGUUUGGCUCACAGCGAUGUGAGGUGUGCCUUGAAGGGCUAAGUAGCUCCCAAAUAGAAAGUGUGUUCAAAGAGUUGAUCCUAAGACGAUCAUUUGAUAUAUCUUCUUAGAUCAGCAUAGAUUUCAAAACGACAAAGAAUAUGGUCGAUUGUGACACGAUCUGCUGUGAAGCUGCGUUGCUCUAUUUCUGGCAUAUCCCUCAAGGACUGCAACUUCACGCCUUUUUAAAUCAUAGAUCGGCGUAAUAUUUCCUUCAAAAAGGGAAAUUGAGGCCUGCUCACGAAGUCACAGCGAGAGGUUAUAGAUUGUCGAAGUGGUGUUCAAGUCCAAGUCAUUCACCAUUGAUUUUACAAAUAAAUGCAUAGUGCUUGCCUGUGGUAAGCUUUGGUGCUCUAUGCUUAGUUUCUAGAAUCCAUGGUGAAUGACUUGGAGUUGAAUCUUGCUUGCUAGUGCAAGGCUUAAUAUUUUCAUAAUUUCUCGUAUGAAUAAAUGCGGAAUUGCGCACACAACAAUCUAGGGUUGGAAAAAAUUUUACGUAGCACAUCAUUCCACAGUUCUGGUUAUCUAGAACAAAAAUCUGUGGUGUAUUAAUCGUUUUUGUCUUUUAACUUCCUGCACACAGAAUGGUAGGCGACUUCCCAAUCAUCUGAGCUAGCUUACCAAAACGAUUCUGCAUGGACCGGACGGUGCUUACCUCCAACAAACCAAUUGCGAAACGAAGCACUGCACCAAAUUGCACAACAUUUGUCAAAAUCUCACGGCCUUUCCACAUAACGAUUUCUUUCAAAGGCAUCUAAAAUUCUCCAUUAUGUUCUUUCGCAACGCCUGUUGGAUAAGACUGGUCAUAAAAGGCAAAUCCAAUAAAUGACUAGAUACAAUCAUUUUGAAACAUCAACCCUGCAUGAUUGAACAGUAGGGACGCGCACCAGGGACAAUGCAUGUUACAAUUACACUGCCGCACAGCUCCACAUCAUCGGACACCAUUCAAGCUCCGUAAGAACGACAUCCACCGCUCCACGACUUAUUGGCUCAGAAAACUGAAACACAAGCUCCUGGAGAGCGCCACAACCGCAUGCUUGUGUUCAAGCAGCAAUUUUAGUGUAUCAACCGAUUGCAAAGACGAUCGUGAACGAUACCACUGCGAAUUCACAAACUAGCGUCGAAGUCGCCGCGGCGAUCUCACGCAAGGUAAACCCUAAUUGGCCGUUCAUAGGCAUUCUGAAGAUUAAAUUCGGGUAGGUUCGGUCCGGGGCUAAUCCGAGCCAAACCCAGCCUGGUACAACCCCUUCCAGAAAGAACGUACGGAAAGGACAUUCGAAUGUGGACGCAUUCACACUGCUAUCGCUCCACCUACUUUAGCAUAAUGAGGUGGCAUUUAUGGGCCACUGGGUUCACGAGUUCUCUUCGUGGAGAACAAUAGAAAUUUAGUUCCCUAAAGUUGGAAUAAUCUUGUGGUUGAAGCUUAACGAUGUUCCAAAUUUGUUUAUUAUGAAUACCAACUCAUGGUUCCUUAAAUGAAAAGAUUACGUAUGUGAGUUGGAAUUCAACAAGUGAUCAACUGGUGAAGGGCCAUUGCCAAACGAAGCAUCACCGAGUUUGCCGCAUGAGAUUUGAAUUUGAGCGCGCUGGCCCUAUAAAAGGCCCCAGUCGGACCGUUAACCCCGCCAUCAGUUCGAUGUCGCAGUUGUGACCCGGUCCGCAGCGCACGGGUGUGCGCAUUUGCCCAGCCCGGCCCGCCCCAACUCAACUCAACUCAUCAGCUUGCUUGUGGUACAGCUUGUGCGUGAGUUGAGCAGGUCUGCAGUGGUUGCGCAGUUCCGCGACACUCGAUCAUCGGGUGGAUUCGAGGGUUUGAGUGAUGAGGAUCGGCGUGUCGGAGAAGAUUCAUCGGGCGCUGCAGAGAUUGCAUCUGCACGGGAUCGGGGGUGGGAAUUCGCUCCAGCACAAUGUGCACUGCGACGUGAAGGUCAGGAAAGUCGACCUGGUGCCCAGCGACGUGCCUGCGGGGUUCUUGGUCGUGUACGUCGGUGACGAGCGGCGUCGGUUCGUCAUCAGGGCCUAUACCUUGAAGCAUGCAGUGUUUCGCGUGCUCUUGGAGAAGUCGGCCGAAGAGUUUGGUUACAAGCACGACGGUGGGUUGAUCAUUGCUUGCGAUGUGGCAUUUUUUGAGCACCUGCUGUGGCUUAUCGAAACAAAAAGCCCUUCUCUUUGUAGGAUGGAGCUGCGGCAUUACUGGGCUUUCGCGCCCGAUAAUACUAUUUGUCACAUGGUGGAUUGAAUGAGGGAGAGGAUGCGGAAUGAUCGAGUACGGAGAGCGUGGAUAUUUUGUGCGAUUCGCGCUUUUCAGUGCGAUGGUGCGCAGUCUAGGAGAGGUGGAGGGGAGCCCCAAAUUGGCUACGGACGGCUGGGUGAGCGGUUAGACGUAUCAGUCGACUGUGGUGUCUAUGCCUUACGCCGAUGCGUAAUUCGAAAUCAUUUGUUACGACGUUGGAGGAAUAUCUUUUGGUACAUAUCAUUCUUUUGGAAAGAAUAAGCACUCUUAAGGUAUUAGCAUGCGACUGACGUUCUUGCGGUGAAUUAUCGUUACCAUUCUUUCAGUUGAUCCGAUCUGGCACAGAGAAUGAUGCGUGUCAGGAGCCUCGCUAUGGAUCAUUAUUGACUUACUUACACCAUGACAACCUCUCUGUGCCCAAUCCAGGGUUGGUUGGCUGAUUAGUUUGCGACAAUGAAAUUCGGUAAAGCGAUCUCAGCUCACGGCAUAGUGAAGAUAAUUCCGAUUUGCAAACGUAGGAAGACUUUGUUUCAGCCUGUUCGCUGUAGCCUUGUCUUUUUACCACCAGCCUGUGGGUAGCUGGUAGCUUGUAGCUUGGGCGGUGUUGCUCGUCCAUGCUAAGGCUAUGAGAUGUUUGACGCUGUGAAUUGCGUACUGCAUGACAAGCCUUAGGAUGUGUCUCCGAAGAUUUAUUUAGCAUUGUGCGAGACAAAAUUUUGUAGUUUAUGAGCACACGCUGUGUUCAUAACGGAGCCCCUCGUCCUGUAGAAGUUGAUCGAUGACCUACCUGUGUCAUGGCAUUCGUCAGACCAUAACAUCCCUUAAAUCACUAAUUGUCUUCCACGUACUAGUGUGUUAGCAAGGCCAUUUGAGAACAUGUGCUGCAUUGCAUACUAUGUGUUGUAAAAUUCGCUCCUUUAUCCUGAGUCGGAUUGAAAGAAUGAACGCUAAUGAUUCCAUCUGCGAAAGAAAGACCUCCGUUUGUGGUCUGCGCAAAUCCUUGACGGAGUAAAAACAGGAUCAUUGCACGCGACAAUAAGUCAUCGUUAUAACAUUGGACAACUUCUUUGGGCAAAGACGUCCUACAACAUAGAGAGCUGCAUCCAAGUUGUGGGGAUCACCCAUUACUUAUACCAAGCGCAGUGGAGGCUAAUUGGACUACGUAAUUUGUUCGGUGCCACUGUUCUAAUUCCUUCCUUAUCAUCAAUUCAACAUAAGUUGCCUGUUCAAAGUGUUCAGAAAACCGGAACUUCGAACAUGAGGCAAGAGGAUCUAGAAUUGUAUGGAUCAAGUUUCACAAAUGUUGUAUAUACAUAAUCAGAUCAUACCGGUGAAAUGAAAAUAGCGUCGAUCAUGUAAAUCACGCAGGUUCGAGUGUGAGUUAUAACCAUACUGAAACACACAUGUGGCAUCAUGUCCAAUGAAGGUCAUGAGCCCAGUAACGCUCACGUCAACAUUACCCCUUACAAACGGGUUUUAUCAUUCUCGUAAGUAGCACACCCAACUCCAAUCUCUGGUCCAAGCAUUAAAAAAAUUCAAACAAGCAUUCGAGGUGAUAUAAUAACGAAUGCCUUGCACACCGACAUUACAUGAAGGAUAGUGGUACAAGAAUGUGCAUCGAAUGUGCUCGUUAUCAGCUUUUCUUCAGGAUCAAUGAAGCAUCUACUCAAUGCCACUGAAUCACUUAAAACAGUGCAGUAAGUGUGAGUAAUCCUAGAUCUUCAUGCUCUUCUGACCUUAUAAACUUUGCUGUGAACGACAAUUCUGUUAACCUUAAACCCUGGAACUAUUGUAAAGCCAACACCGAACACGAUGGGAGAAUUGUCGCCUUCAUCAUCGUCACUCUCUUCUGUCGACAUCAGAAUAGAUUCCAUGUAGUUCCGGUUGAACUUCAUUUUCCUUGUCGGUCGGAAGAUCUCGGCUGUUGGACGCAAUGCGAAUGCAAGCUUGUGUACAAGAAAAACAGAGAGCGCGAGUUUGAUAAAGCUCGAGGCUGAUUUGACCUCUGUUACAGACGUAGCCAACUCCUGUCUUCUAAUACCAUCUGGCCCAAAUACUUUACCGAAGACCAGAACUCCCACGUUUUCAACACCAGGGGCGCCGGUUCGGGAGAGAGCAGCAAUCAAAUCUAUUUGCUUCUUGUUGCAGAACCUGCGAAAGUCAUUAUCGGCUGCAUCAUCGUAAACAAGUUCUUCAGGAUUCUCCAAAUCGUUUAACUGUUUGUACCGCUCGAAGUUAUCUUUCAUACGAGUCUCGGAGUCUAGAGUAUCUGGUGCAUUGUCCUCAAUGUGGAAGCUAUCAUUCUCAAACUGGUCAAACAGAACAUCACAGACGAGCGCUUGGUACACGAACUUGGUAUGACCAUCUCUUUCGAAUACAACGGAUGGCACCAACGCCUUGGCCACACUGGAGCAAUUCACGCCACUAUUCUUCAAGGCUUGCAUCAAAAACUUGGUGAGGAUGCCCGAUGUCGUGUUCACUCUAUCCACAGCUUUGUGUAGAAGGUGUGGAGUGGCUUCUGUUUCCAAGAAGGAUUCGCCGCCGUUGUAUUCUUGCGAGUUCCCAAGCUCCACGACUCUCUUCAGAUGGGCAUUCUCAGUUGUCUUGCUAUUCAAUAGUCGCUGGAGCUCCGUAACUUCACUCUGCAACUUCCGCAUCUCAUUCUCAUUCACAGAUCCAGUCUGCAAGGGAUCUUGUGACGGAGAUUCCGAGCCAAUUUUUAAUGCGAUGUAAUCACGCCUGUCUACAAUUCUCGGUGAACUCUCGUGCCCUCGUAAAUAUCUACCCGGUAACCUAAUUAAACGUAUCAAAAUAUAUAUAGGGUGCCAUAAAACGCUGCGGAAAAAACCGCACAUACUUGCGUCACAACCCAACACCAGCUUUAGAUGAUAAACAACUUUCGAUCAAAUUAAUCUGUAAUCAAAACAGAUUCUUAAAUGCUUAAAGCUCGUAAUCCAACUUCACAAUCCAUGCAAUCUCCAAAAAAAAAAGAGUGAAGAAGAAGAAGAAGAAGAAGAUGAAGAAGGAAACAAAACCGCGUUGCAAAUGUUGAAAGACAAAAAAGAAGAAGAAUUGUAUUGAAUCUCCACUAACCUGAAAUUUAUCUUUAAAUCCACGAGGAAACUGUCGGUAGAAAAAAUAACGCAGUCGCGAGAUGAAAGCCGUAAUGUUGCUGCAUUCGAGACUCCAAAAAUUCUGUUAAAAACGGCGUAGAAUCUGUCUCUUGGUCUAGAAAGCACAGUGACUUUCUCUCUCCCUCUAUGACACCAUACAAUCCGCAAUUCCAGAAUGAUAGCGUCGAAGGAAAACCAAUAACCUCCCUCCUCUUUCCCCUCUCCACUGACUUCGCAAGGCACCCCGACACCCGAUUCAUCAGAUCAAACACACUACAAAACGUGUCGGCCACCUUAAAUUCUCUUGCUACAUUCCCGUGUACAUUGCUCGCUUCCGCAGCGACAGAGCUAGGAAAGGGCGCAAACGCAGGGCGAAAAUUGGGUUAGAGUGGACGACUGUCCUGUGAGGAAUGCAGUUUCCGCCCAUACCAGGCCACUAGCAUCAUUAAAGGUUACACGAUUCUUUUCAGGAGGUCCACACCCAGAUGACUACCGACUGUAUUAUAAAAUCAUUUACCCAGCACUUGUGAGGCUUUUUUUCGGUGAACGAUUGUUUCGCAUUUUUAUUCCCGACUGUUCAUCCAUAGUCACGCACUACACGGCAUCCAUCUACUAGCCCUGUUUUGCUCGCAAAGCAGCUACAGAGCCCUUCCGUCGUCCCGGGGACGCGUGCAGAAAAUUCAGUCAUUACUCUUGAAAAGCGACGAUCACUACUAACCUGUGCAUCCAGGACCGGAAUACUUCUAAUGCUCACGCAAAUAUCUCAUUUCUGGAGUGAUAAAUUACAUCCCCACAUCUUACUCUCCGUCUUGUCCACGUUGGUCGACUUGGUUUUGACGGUACUGCAAAGAAAUGUAGCCUAUCUUGAAAGAACACUGAAUUUGAAACACUAAAUUCGUAAAGAAAAUACUAGAAUUGACUUGAGCAGAACGGAAGUGCUGAAAUGUGAAAUUCAUUUUCCGAUGUGGCAAAAAGCUCAAGGCUCGAGUAUUGUGCUACAUCGUCAUACUAAGAAUAAACGAGACUGGCUAAGGUGCUUCCGCUUUCAUCUACAUACAAAAGGGGAUGAAUAUUCUAACACAUCUUUGCAAAUUCCUCCAAUUCUUCAUCGUAGAAACUGAUCCUAAACAACGGACAUGUGAACAAGGUCUCGAAAGAGGUAAUAGUCCCAGCUAAUACAGCAUCUAUGCACACUCGGUGCGAACAACUCGUACUGUUCUGCUUCCUUUCCUAAUCGUCAAAGAGAAAUGGAAAAUUGACAAUAAAUAUAAAAAACUCCAGUCAUAGAAGUCGAACACGCGAUGUUACCAUCUCUACUGACCAUAGCCUUCGCAUACGACUAUGUCUGGGCCUGGUCAGAAUUUAUUCAUAUUUAAAACAAUAAUGUGCAACAAUUUCUAUCAAGAAGCAAGCUUAAAAAAAAAUUGUACCAGUCAGGAAAAAACGUAGGCAACUAUAGAAAAAGGAAAUUCAGCGGCAUAUCAAAAACGAUCCGAAGACCAUACAAAUUUCAGCCGCCACCUGUCCAAUCGAUCCCCGAAAUUUGCCUUUCCCUAUUCCAUCGAAGAGAUUUGGUGCGAAGGAAAAUUCCAUGCUGCUUCGCGCGCCCAGUGGGUGGGGGGUUGUCCAGGGAGGUACACUGGCAAGGACGAAGAAGCACGCGACGUCGCACGGCAGAGUGGCAAGGAAGGCCAGAGUCGAGACAGCCCACAGUAAGCGAGAGAGGGAGUGAUGCCAGCCCUGUCCCCGUCCCCCUCACCUUCUCUGCUUCUUCUUUUGCGAUGGAUGGCACCAUCACUCACACGGUGGCGCCCUCACUCCACUUGCAAGUUGCCUCGCCUGCCUUUCCCCUUCCUUCCAUCCAUCUCCUACUAUUUAUCAUGCUUCGCCGGGCCUUUUGCUUCUCCACGCCGAUUGCCAAGUGCAUCUCUGUGCAGGCCCCUCGCUAUGUCCCUCGGCGAAGCAACCAACCGCUGGACUUCGAAAUUCUUCUCAACGCCUCCGAGCCAGGGCCCGUGUAGUCGUCGCGAUCGACAGUCGUCGGUUGGUUCGCACAAUGGCAAUAUCCAUGCAAGAGUUGUUCUACGGUGAGAGCGAGCCCGUCUACUUGGUCCACUAUGGGCGGCAAAGAAGCUCCACAAGCUGGGGGUCGCACUCGUACACCCCGCAACCGGCCAUGCCCGAAUUGUCCCGCACCAGUCGUGGUCGAUCGGGAUUGCGCAGAUUUGACCUGAUGGCGCCAAUGUGCUGCGCUGGGUGCGAAGACCAGGUGCGAGACGCUCUGUAUGCGGUGCGGGGCGUCCAAGACGUGGUUUGCGACCCCGGCGUGCAGAGGGUGACCGUGACGGGGUACUUGGAGCCUGCAGAAGCCCUGAAUAGAUUGAAGCGGGCCGAAGACUGCGUCACAUUCUGCUCUCGCAACAAGCAGCACAGAUACGAGGAGUCCUCGUGCCAGAGAUCACACCGAGGCCAAUUCGAAGACAGGGGUCGCAGGGAGUACGUCCAAUACAACGUGAGAGAGCAGAGGUCGCACACCGACCGCAGCUACGUCGGCUCGAGGAGCGAGCCAUACUCUCGGAGCUUGUGCCCGGCGUACAGAGACACCGCCCGGACGCAUUACAUGAGCGUGCCGAACCCGACGAUUGCAACACGCGUAGAGAGGGAAUGGUGAGGGGCAACUGCCAGUUUUGCAAAUUUUGUACAGUGAGAUCAGAAUGGGGUUCCACAUUGGGGCCGCACAAGGUUGCGAACGGCGACGAGCGAAUUUAGGCUAGAAACUAGACUUUCUCCGGAAAUUACCGAUCCCUUUGGGGAUUUAGAUUGCGGGUGCCGUGCGCACAGAACCUGGACAAGCUUGGUUCCGAGAACUGUGUGACGCACAUUUGAGUGUACAAACCGAG